UUUUUUUUUCCAUCUGGUUUUAUUAAUAACAUUGAAGGAUACAAGAGUCGAAUACAAAGCCGGCGGAACAUAGAAACAUCCCCGGAGACUAAACCCAAGAAGGGGAACAAGAACCCAAACAACCGGGCUGCAUACCAACAUCUGGAACUUAAACUUAAUACCUAUACUCCUUGUGAGAAACCCAAAGACAAUCUAUCAUAAAUUAAAGAACAGAGACUUAAUAGCCUAUAACCAGCCGGAAUUCUUGCAACGAACAAUACAUGUGACAAUUUGAGCAGAAACCUCAUCUGAACCUCAUAUUCACGAUGACAACAACCAACCUCUUCGACAACCUCAAGACAACAACCAGGAUGAAACAAACACCCACCAGAGCGCUUAACUCAACCGCACCAUAAGCUGGAAGCCUCCAUGUCUCCACCUCCAUGCUUCAAGCAAACAAAGCCAUGAGGAAGACAAAGACCAAAGGAAGACCAGGAGAAACACUAUUUUCAAGGCAGGAGACAGCCCCCGCUGAACCUGAGAGACAAAUAGGUGUUCUGAAAACAACCUAUUUCUCAAGGACCAUAACCACCAACUGCUGCUCACUACACACCACCACGUUACUGCUACACCGUUGCUAAAUCAAAGACCAACUAAGACCAGCUCAAAAACCAUGAUAGACAAGCAUGAUUCAACUCCUUGCCUGGAGAUACACACAGCUGAUGGAGGGACGACGGAACAGAACUGAAGAGCUCUCUCUGUUGAGACACCAAAGCUGCAACAUCAAGAGAACCAGAUCUAAGCCGACACGUCCAACACGCCUCAGACCUCCAUCCGAGUAACACCAGAAUCAUCAGAUCCAUCCAUAAACCCCGAUCUGAAACUAAACCCAAAAAGGUGACAAGUUACCGAAAUUAAAGACAGAGACCUAUUUAGAAGGGAGAGACAUGGCCGCUCCCGACGGCGGUGAGAAGCACCGACCGUCGGAGCAGAAGACUAAGAUACGGCGGCUCUUGGUUCUUUAGGUUUUGUCGAGAGCGUUUUCUUUUUAAUCCCAAGUCUUAGACAAUAAUAUUUGUUUACUACAUAUACUUAAUAGCUUUAUUUCUUACAAUAUUUUGGUAUCUGUAAACUGAAAAAAAUACGUUCUAAAAGGAUAAAGUAAUAUAAAAGGAUACUAUACGCUGAGAAGUAUCAGAGUUUUCUAAAUUGAUGAAGACACUAAAUGGGACACUAUACCCCACGAGAGAAUUGCCAUCAUCUCAUGCACGUCUUCUCUUUACGUUUUGAUGUCAAGUUUGCAACCCAAAAGCAUUUAAGUCACAAGUUUAUGUUUUUAGUGGGAAUAGACACUAAUUUCAUUGUAAUAUAGUUGAUGCUGUUAGAUACGUUCAAAUAUUUGAUAACUACUAAGAUACCAAAUGGAACGGUUGGGAUAAAUUACUAUAGUAUCUGGUUAUCAUAUGAAAGUAGUGUUCUAUCUCACAUAUCAACAUCUUAAUAUUUCUAUUUUCAUUAAGGGACCUACAUACCUAAUAAUAAACUAAUGCAAAAUUGAAUACAAAAAUAGAGACCAUAGAAGUCGUAGUCGGAUAUGCAUAUAUACUAAAAUGUUUUGCAUGCAUCGCAUCACUAACUUAAAAGGAAUCAUGUUCAUGGCUCCUUAUCUACCCUUUAGUGCCACUUUGUUUCUUUUUUUUAAAUGUAGUUUUCUUUCAGCAAAUUGCAAUGAUUCUGUGUUGUUGAGAGCGACUUCAUGCAUUGCUUUCCCCCCACGUAAAAUACAUUAUUUAUCAAUAUAUGCUUAUAUAUAAGUUGCUUACCAGCUUGUCAAGUUAAAAACAUUUACUAGCCUACAAAAUCGCAUUGGCAUCUCUAUAUACUCUACAAUAUAUACCUAGAUUUUGGAGUCAAAGCGAUUAUUUGUGAGACGUGCCUUUUAGAUUUUGCAUGGUCAAGUUUGUAUUGUCAAUCUAUCAUGAACUUAUAUUUACACUAUUUGAAAUCUGCUUAUAGUUAAAACUCAUAACAUCUCGAUAGACUACAUUGUGCUAGAUAUGCUAUUUAUAACGAAAUGUUAGAUAAAUUAGGAUUGUGUAUAUAUAUGGUCCUCUAAUAUAUAAUAAGAAAGUGCAGCACUUAAAGGAUAUGAGUAUGAUUGAUGGUGAAAAAGGUCUUUUAAGCACCAAAUUUAUUAGGGGUUUUGUGAAGAACGGGUCCUACACGAGACACUAACAAGAAUAGCUAAACCAAGGGGAGAGAAAUAUAUCGUUGGUGUUGAUGAGCCACUUCUAACAUAAGCAUGACGGUUUGUCUAAGCCUCAGUUUAUUCUAUGUUUUUAUUUUACUUUAUAUGGAAACAAGUGUUUUUGAAAGCCGUAUUUAUAGGCAUCUGGUCUAACAUUUUGAAAGAUCAUCAAAAGAUUUUUUUUUUCUUUUUACGAUGUUUUAACCUAUAUGAAAUAUAGGAGAGGGGAACUAUAUAGUCUACGUACAAAUUUCAUGAUAUAUAAACUGAAAUGUACCCGGCAUUCUAACCAAAAAGCUUUCCGGAUUUUAAAAUCACUCACGUUCCACGGGUACGCAAUCAGACUGCUGAUUUUUUAGCUAAGACUGCUAGAUCGUUCCAUAGGGAGUUGUGUUUUAUUGGUUGUUCUAUUCUGGUUUGGUUACCCAGACCACCUCAAAUUUGAGUAAUAUAAUAGCCUUUCGACGUCAAAAAAAAAAAACAAAAAGCUUCUAUCAAUUGGCUCACCAAGAAAACAAAUAUGAUCUAGUUUCUGAAGAUAAUUUGUAUUUCCUGUUUGCGUAUAAAUUAACAAAUGUCAUUGUAUAUUCUGGUUUUCUAACAAUUCAAAAAACAAAAAUGACAAACUAGUGUCUUAUGCUCAAUUUACCCAAAAAAGGCUGAAAUAACUUUUAGAUACUUUUAGUACAUAUUAGAAUAAAUAAAAUAUAAGUAAUUGUCAUUUGAGAAUAAUUAUUUUAUGGAAUGAGACCUAGUUCAGAAAAGAAUCAUGUGGUGCAACGGAAAUUGAAAUUUAUGGUAUACUUUUCGCUUUUAUAACUUUUUGUUCUCUUAUACGUCUAAAAAGUCAAUGGAGAUUUAAAAGAGGGGGGGGGAAAUGGAAGAACAAUGCCACCACGAAGUCAGAUUAUUGCUGCCUAAUCAUUAAAGUCAGAUUUAUUAUACACUCUUCAUACCUAUGCCCUGCCCAACUCUAUUAUACACACACAUUCACAUCAUUUUACUAUGUAAAUAUUUCACACAUAUAUGAAUGCACAUAAUUGCAACUUCAAUGAAUGAUUCUAUGAAUGGCCGUUUGACACAAACGUCAAAAAAAAAUGAAUGAUUCUAUCAAAAAAAUUUUUUAAUUAAUGAUGACAUGUGGUCGCAACCAUAUUUUGGUUAAAAAUAUUUUACUAAAAUUUAAAGAUAAUAAUUUAUGUUUUAAAAAAUUAGAUUUCAUAGUUUUACACAUAUUAAAUUUAUGUCAUAAAUAUUUUUUAUCAAUUUUCAACACAAUUAAAAUAAUAUUAAUUUAAUUACUUUUAAAAAUAUAGGAUAUAUUAUAAUUAAAUGAUUAUAAUUUAUAAAUACAUACACAAAAAUUACUUUUUUGAAAAUAAAUAUUUUCAAAACAUCUAUUUUUCAUAGAACGGAAUUGAGUAGUCUUUAGAUCUAUAUAUAUAUUUUUAACUGAAAAUACACAAGGCACUGAACUAAACUAUAUAUUUCUGUAGAUCUUUUGCUCAAAAAAAAAGAUUUGCUCAAAAAAAAAAUAUUUCUUUAGAUCUAUAUUACCAAACUGAUAUGACGACUAAUGUUCUCCUUUUGCUAUUUGUAUAUGCGCACAAAAAUGUUAUUUUAUCAUCAAAUUACAAUUUCCAUCUGCCGUAUAAGCUAUUUUUAAUUAACAUUAAUAUGUACCUUGUACUGAUCCUUUUAUGUUGUUUUCAUUUUCAAUAAUUUCGGAUAAAUGGACAAGAAAUAAACAGAUUGUCAAUGAAAACUUAAUUAUUUGAUCAAGAUACGGACACAACAAUAUAUAUAUAAGACAUGCAUACCUACAUAUAGUUUUAUAUUGAUUCUCUCGUCCUCUUUGUCAUACUUCAUGAAUCAUGACAUGGCUUAAUGCAACAAAACAGAAAAACUUAGUGAUUUGAGUAAAUCAUAAACAUUGAGUUGACCUAAAUAUUAUAGUUUAUUUUAUCUCCGUCCAGAUUAAUUAUAGCUUCUGAAGAAUGUUUCAGGAAAACAUGCUUACAACAACCUGAUGUAUUUUAUAUUCCAAACAAUCAAAGAUCGUCAUCUCAAUUAAAUUGUCUUAUCCUCUUUUAAAGAUUUUGUUUUUAUUUAUGUAAAUGAGACCUCUAUAUAUAUAUAAACCGUGUGCAGUUAAGUACUUUUCUAUGCAAUGUUCGAUAUAUAAGUGCAUGGAUCAACGCAGGUUAUCAAAUUCUUCUUAAAAUUAAGAUAAACCUACGUGUACGGUUGGAUUUGUGUCGGUUUAUCUAAACGUCUCAUGCAAUCUCGUGGACUCGUACGGCGUCCAAAAUACUCCAUUCAUCUGUGUGUGUGACUUUCAAAUUUGUUGUAAUCGAUAAAAAGAGAAAAAGGGCUCACGUAUCAAAAGCAAUAAUCAUCGUCUGCUAAUUAUCAAAAGACCAUUAAUGACGUUUCAUGCACAUUAAGUUUUUAAACAUUGAAUUAUCAUAUAGCAAAAAAAAACAUUGAAUUAUCCCCUCGCACGGAAUUAGAAGUAUCCAUCUUUGUAACUUUUAUUCGUUGACAAGAAAAAUGUAAUUAUUAAUCAGGAAUCAUAAAAGUUAUAGCGAAUCAUGGGUAAGCGAGCGCAUCAAUGCACACAAAUCAAUGAUUAAAUUUGCACGAGAAGCAUCGUACGUAAUACUAUUAGGGAUUGAAUUCUAUUUUUUCACCAAAAAAUAAACGGAAAGGACACUUUUUGUUUCAUGAAUUCGACUCGUAAGGUUUCAAAGUCAGCAUGCAUAUGAUAGGAACUUACUUUACUGUAUCCAUCAUUCGAGAUAAUAACUAGCUAUGGAAGAAGCGUGCGAUAUAGAUAUAGUCACAGUUAUACGUGUAUUUUUUUGCCAAGUAUAUGUAUGUAUGUAUAUAUGUACGUAUGUGACAUAUAUAAUUCGAUUAGUUUCAUGAACCGAGUAUUUCUAAACGAUGCGGUAUGAUGUCAUAUCAGUACCUAUCCAAACUAGAUAAAACUAAACUAAAUGUUUUGGUUACUAUCUCUCAAACUAACAUACGUCAAUAAAUGUUUUCCGCUGCAUUUAAAAACGUAAACCAGAACUUAUAUAAAUGUUUUGUAGAUUUGAUUUAAGACUACACUAUCCUAGAGUUUUUAGGAACCAUACAAUUAGCUAUAGAAAAGUAAUUCAUAUAUAGUAAAAGGAGAAACGUAUUUUUUUAUUUCUUUCACACUUUAUACCGAUAACACGUUUUGUUUUCGGAUGUUUGGGUUUCUAGUUUCCAAAAGAUUAGAAAAGCUUGAUACAGCAGAACAUCUAUAAAUUAAUACUCGAUAAAUUAAUAAUUUUUAUAAAUUAAUAAAUUCCAUCGGUCUCAACUUGGACCGUUUUAAAAUUUGACACAAAUCGAUAAAAUAAUAAGAUAAUAAUUUUUUAGAAAAUUCUAUAUAAAUAUAUGGUCCAAUUAAAAUUAUAAAUUAAUAAAUUAUAUGUAUACGUAUUUUAUAUAAGUAAAAACCUAUUAUUAUAUGGUUUGUAUUAUAUUCACAAUGGAAUUAUCUUUAUAUUUUUUUAACACUUGAUAUAUUUUUGAUGAGGUUUAGUGAUAUUAUAUCUAAAAUCACAUUUAAGUUCUAUGCAAUUUAUACUAUAUACACCAAAUAAUAUAAUAAAAUUAAUAUAAAUGUCAAAUUUCAAAAAAUAACAAUUAAUGUCUAUACACUAAAAUCAAAUAUUUGUCUUAUCUUAGAAUGAAUAUAUCUUAAAAUAAGAAAUCUAAAUAAAGAAAUUUUUGUAAAUUAAUAUCUUUAUAAAUUAAUAAAAUUUCAAAGUUCCAAUAUUAUUAAUUUAUAGAUAUUCUACUGUACAUAGUUUUGAAAUGUACUCAAAACACUUAACACAGAAUAUUUUUACAAAGGAAUCGGUUUCUAAAUAUAUUUUUUGAAUAAUUAAGUAGGUUAGUAGAUGGAUGGAUUGUCAUACAAUGUAUAAAGAAAUAAAGGGUGCACUCAUCUCUAAUGAUAAUUUUGUACGUCGAACACAGUAGGCACUAAUUAACUAAUGGCUCCGUAACUCCGUUAAUCAAUUGCCCCUAAACUAUAAAAAGGAGCAAGUAAGACAAACUCGAAAAGGUUGAAAAUCAAUUUAUGGAUAAUAAGCAUAUAAAAACAAAGAAAUAACAAAACGGCUUAUACCUAGCAACGACAUCUACCUGUGACCUAAUUAACAUGGAGACACUUUUGUGGCAAUUUAGUUCCGACGUUGUUGUCAUGUUUCUCACACCAACCCCCAUGAAUGUACCCUCUCCACGUUUUCUUUUUUUCUUUUACUAAUAUGUUUCUGUUUUAUCGUACUAUUUCUCAACAUCUUAUAUGCUUUAAAAGUAUUUAUGUAAAGUUUUAGAUUUUUUGUUUUGUUUUUUGAAAGCAACUAAGGAGUUUGUAAUUACGGCAAGCAACGUGGACAUGGAAUCUAGAACAAUAAAGUUAAAGAAAGUGAAAUUAAAGAGUUAAUGAGAUAUGUAAAAAACCUGGGAUUCGUGCUCCAAUCUCAACUUGCUCACCAAAUAUUUCAUCAAUACUCGAACAGUCAUCUUCCCGUCCCUACAAAAUCCAAGAACACCAAUAUUAAUUAGCCAAAAGCAUUUGAUAAAAUUGACGUCGGUUUAUCUGUCAUUCUUAUAGUAUAUACUCAGAGAAUGGUAGAAUCUUAAUAUACACUAACUUGAUUCUCAAGUAGCUCUUGGGUAUCUGAGGCAAGAAUGGUUCUCUUGUCCUAAGAUGUUCACCAAAACAAAGCCGCUAAUUAGUACUUUAACAAAUAAUUCUAAUAAAAUAAAUUAUAGAACAAAGUCUCUAGGAAGUUAACAUUUAGCACUUACUGGUUUUGAGAAGCUUGAAGGAGGAACCAAAUGCCCGAAUAGGAUCGCCUGGGAGGAUCGAUGACUCGAAAACUCGAGCUUGGACCAGCCACCACAUCCGGAUUAUUAUUAUUAUUGUUCCCUAUUAACUGGUGCUGAAAAUUGGAGCGACCAAAGUAAGGUCCUAUGAAUGGCAUCAUCAAAGAGGUAGAUGACGAUGAUGGUUGCACUAGGUUUUGUGGGACAAAAGGCGUUCUAAACGCAGCAGCCGCCCAAGAACCAAUCGUCUCCUGAUCAGGCCUGGUAGGGAACAUUAAUGGAUUAAUCAUCAUCCCUCCUGGUUCAUGCUGAUGAUGAAAGAUAGAUGACAUUAAUGGAACAUCAACUCUUUCUUCUCUAUUUGAACCGCCAGAGUAAAGGUUAAGCUCUAGAAAAGAGUCUCUCCCAGCCGUUUGAUUGGUUUGAUGUUUAUUGUCAAGAUCCGGUUUAACAUCAUCCUCGUGGCCUGUGCUUAACCGGAGCCAUCCUUCUUGUCUCAUCUCAUGAUCUUCGGCUUCAUUCUUGGUAUUAUUAUCAUUAUUAUUGUUAUUGUUGUUGUUGUCGUGGUCAUCCUUGGAACUUAACCUAGAAGUAGUACUUCUCGGUUCUUCUUGAUCGGCCAUGAAACUACAAUCUUUCCUACAAACUUGGUAAUGAUCAGAUCCUAAGCGAAUGUCUUUCUUGCUGUUGUUGUUGUUGUUGUCCUCGGAGAAAGAAGAGAAGUGAUGAGCUUUUUGUAAUAACCUCAUAAAAGCAAAACUAUUGGAAACCCCACAUGAAUGAAGAAGCCUUGUUGAGGAGGAGGAUUCAGCAUCAACAACCAUGGCAGAGUCCUGUGAGUCGGAGAGGAGCGAGACGAAGCGUUACUGAUGAUCUCAACAUGAGGGGAGAUGGAGGAGAGAAUAUAUAAUAAAUUAGGGUUCUUAGAUGGAGACGAAAGAUCAAGAACUCGAGGAAUGGUCAGAGACCGGAGAAGUCAUGGAGCUCUCUGGAGAGAGAGAGAGAGAGAGAAAGAGAGAGAGAGACUAUAUGUGUUUUAAUGAUGAGAGAGGACUAGAGAAACAAUAAAUUCUGAAAAUCUCACUUUCUAUCAAUUCUCGUUGUUUGGAAUCUUGUGUGAAUGAAAUUGAUGCAGAGAAUAGAGUAAGAGAGAGAGAGAGAGAGAGAGAGAGAUGCUAAUCUUGUAAUUAUACAGAGUAAUGGGCACUAGUUAUAUGGAAAGCUUCUUAUGCGGUCAAUCUCAGUACAUAUACAUUAUUUUGGUGUCAUCUACUCUAAUACACACGUAUUUUCUUUUUUCCUUCACCACAUAUACAUAAGCAUUAAACAACAAAAAAAAUGAACGAUGAUUAUCAGAAUUCAGUUUCUUUUUGUCUUUUCAAACGUAUAAAGUACGGAAUACUUAGAGAAUUACGAUUUGAAUAAUGCCUUCGAAUUUUCAAUAACUCUUUUGGUUAAUAUUUAUAAAGUUUUUAGUGAGUUAAGAAUAGAUUAAAAAUUUAUAUAAACUAUUUGUCUUAUUUUAAAGGUAAUAUUAAAAUAAUUAAGUUAUAUAGACAAGAAUUUUAUGAAGAUAUUUUCUAACUCUUUUACCCAUAACUUUGUCAAUUCAUAAUACGAAUAUUUUUUUAAGAUAUUUCUAUUUACAGUCGCUCCCAAUUGCUUAUAAUUAUUCCAAGAACACGAUAGAUUGGUUCACAAGCCUUUUUUAAAAAAAAUGAUAGAUUGGUUCACAGUUUUCCAUAUUACUUCUUCACAAAUUACAAACAUACACAUAGAAAAAUGGGGAUAUUGGUAAUAUUGAACCUAGCUAGCUGCAUGGAGGACUCAAUCCACGAUGAUAUAAAACAAUAUAAUCAAAUAAAACCAGCAUAUUACCUGCGUCAUCAGGCCAACCAACGUUUUGAGAUAUUUCUCACACCUAUUCAACGUACAAAAGAUAUUAAUACUACAAGAGAAGAAUUAUAGUGGUAUAUUCCUCAAUUAAUGUAUAUUAUCAUUACAACUAAUAACCUUUUAACGAGCAUAUAUCAUGCGAGACACAAAUACAGAUUAUAUCACGUAUAUUCAACAGACUUCACAUGUUUACUCAUGCAUAUACUUACUCGACACCAUUUUAUAACUUCGAAUUUCUUACAUAUUAUUGGCUGUCCCAAAAGAAAAAGAAAAUUUAUUAUUAGUCCAAACUUGUCGUAUUCGUCGUACAUGAUUCAGCAGAUGCAAAACCUUUCUCGAUCUCGCAUGAUAGUAUGUACUCACACUAAUUCAGUAGUUCUAUCGUCGCAUAUUCAGAUUAAACAACCCGUAUCAAAUACCUCUUAUUACAUUUUUUUUACCAAAAUUAUUAGUAUAUAAUAUUUCAUCCGUUUCUAAAAGAUCCAUAUUUACAUCUGUAGUUCUAUUCUAAAAUAUUUCUUAAACAUUAAAAUAAGAAGUACAACUACUACACAAGUUACAAAACUACAGCUUGAACAUUCACAAUCACAAUUCACAACGUAUAACUAAAGAAAUACCAAUCCUUUAUCAAAAAAAACUAAAGAAAUGCCAAUCAAUAUUGUCUAUUGUACCUUAGGAAUAUAUAUAAAAGGUGGUGUGACAAAUAUUCUAACUAGGAAAAUAUUCUACGAGUUGACCGAGUAAAGUUAUAAUUAGCAUAUUAUACGUAAAAUUUGUUUUUGUUUUUGUUUAUGUGUGUUGUCUUUACUCUUUAAAUAGACAAAGAAAGUUGGCCUUUUAAAAAAUGUUUUUGGUAUAUAUAUAUGGGGUUAAAUAAAAGCUGGGAUUUUCAGUAAAGCCAGAAAACGAGAAGAGUGGAGUGCGAGGCAUGAUGACAUUAGACCUGUCAAAGUUCAAUUAUUAAGAUAUGAAGUGUUUUAAUAAUCCCAAGGAUGGUAGUUAAUUAUUCCUAAAUGAAACUAGGAAUAUUUAAGUCAGAGAUUAAAAAAUACUCCAAAAACGCUUGAAGGAAAUUUGGCAUGCACCGAAAAUGAUGAUGUUUCGGUUAAAAGCUCAUUUCCCCAGAUCAUACAGCAAAACCCACAGACCCUGUGAUGCUUGUUUCUCAUCAAAUUGUACUUCUACUAAGAACCAUGUGCUACCCAACAAUUUUAUGUUAGUACGUUUUUAUUAGAAUAGGAAAAAUUAGUUGAUCACAAUCUACUGAAAGUUAUUUCUUGUUGAUAUAUACUGCAAUUGUUGAACUUAAGUGGUUAGAAAAUGCUCAGUGUUCGGGAUAUUGUUUCAGAAGAGAAGUCACUAAUAUAUCGAUGUCAGUACAAAAGCGAAGAAAGACUUCAGGUUAUUCUGAAGAUGGAUUAUGUUUUUUUACUAUUCAUAAAUUGGAAAUCCAUGAUAAAUUCGAACUUAACAUCGUAUCAGAGUAUCAUAUCAGAGUCCAGUUACGAUCCAUUACCCGUACCCAUCUGAAAUAUAUGGUCCUCCGGCUGGACCAAUUGUCUUAGUUAGUCAGUGUGACAACGAUACAUUUUCAAUCAAUUUUGUUUUCAUUUUCGUAGCUUCAUGCUUUCUUCUCUUGUAAACAUUUUCAUUUGUUUUUAUUACGAGCCAUGAGUAAUUACCGUAUUUAUAUGGGUUAGGUUUAAAUUUAGCUAUGUUUCGUGCUGGUUCUCCAAUAUAUUUUUCACUCUAAAAUAUAGUUUAGAGUAAAAAUGCUCCAAUAAUACUAUAUUUUUCACUCUAUAAUAGAGUGAAAAAUAAAUUACUCCAAAUAUAAAGUAAUUUUUUAUCACUUUAUUUUCUACUCUAAAUAUAGAGUACCAUUGAAGCAAACUCAAACUUUAUUACAGAGUGACUUUAUUUUAGAAUAAAAAUAUAAAAAACCAUUGGAGAUGGUCUUAUAUAUUAUUUAUAUCUUAGUUUAAUUCCCAAUGUGGAGUUUAUAUUUUCACAUAAAGACUUAACAGUCUUUUACACCUCAGUUUACUUUGAAUAUUUCCGUUCUUGCAAGUUUGCACGUUCAAUCAUUCUAUUUUGCUGAAGUCAUGUCACACAGUUACGUUCAACCAUGAGACUUACGGAUAGUUUUUUCUUAAAGAUACAUUUAAAUGUCAACAGUAAUUUGUGCAUGGUCAAUAAACAAAAGCGUACUACAUCAAGAACACAUACAUACAUGCACAGGGGGAGAUAGUCAGCUUUGGGUGGAAAAGAGGAAGUGAAAAGAUUCAGAGGCGUGGCCUCUGGCUAGUGACAUUGCAUAGGGCAUGAAAUGACUUAGGCUUUGAAUCAACCGCAAAAAGUUUAUAUCCCUUUUGUCUUUCAGAAAAAAACUUAUACUGAUACCAAUUUUUUUUCUUACAAUACCAAAAAGUAGAAUUAUGUAAAUUUGUUUGAGCUAGGGUGAGUACAUAAACAAUAACACUUGCUUCAAUCUAACUUUUGUAUGGUUUGUUUAUAAAUUGCUUGGGUGAGUUCAUAAACAGUAACUUUCGAACGUAAAAGAUAUUGCUCUAUUUUUUUCGAAUGCGAAUAUUUUGUUGUUUAAUGUAUAAAUAUGGGCAUGCAUAUUGGAAGAAAGGUGCCUUUAGGCAGGCCUAUCGGGACAAGUAAAUACUGAGGCAUAUAGUGAAGUGAGUGGGAAGAGUUAUCAUUCCGAUGUUGUAAAAGAAACAUAACUUUCUCUCUCUUUCUGCAUUGCAUGUCCCCUUUAUCUACAACCACCUCUUCCUCUUCACGUCUUAACGAAUAUUCUCCUUUACAAUUUUUAUACAUUGAUACACUGAUUCAUGUGCAUAUAUAUAGAAUAUUAUCAUCAUCUCUCUCGUUCAAUGGUCAAAUCAAAUUUCUGCAUCAACUUCUCUUUCUUGAUUCCAAGUAUUUUCUUGUUCUUUUGAGUUGCGGCCCACGCGGGAUUCUCGUUUUUCUAUUCAUGUAGACAUAAACAAACUCCACUAAACCAAGUAUUCAAUUUCUGGCAUAAACUAUAGCUAAUUGCAAUAUUUUCUAUUUCUAUCUUGUUAUUACAUAUGCUGAGCCUGACAUAUAUAUAUAUAUAUAUAUAUAUAUAUAUAUAUAUAUAUAUAUAUAUAUAUAUAUAUUAUGAAUGGUGACUAUUAGCCUAAAUAAGCUAAGAAUCAAAUUAGAUUAAAAAAAAAGAUGUAAUUACAAAGGUGGCUAAGUCAUGAAAAUGGAUUAAAAAAACACUGACACGAUAUUAAAAUGAAAUAAAAACUGAAAGCAUGCAUACAUAUGUUGUGCUAAUAAGAUGGCACACUUAAUAAUAACAACAUUGAUAUAAUAUAUAUACACACUGUCAUGUCUUCCAAAUGUUUUGGGGGCAUGCGACAUAUAUAGCUUUGUUUCUUUCUAAAUUGAAUUGUCUUUCGUACAUACAUCACUUUUACAUACAAAUAGUGUGUAUAUAUACAAGUCGAGAGAAUAUUUGGAAGACAUAAAAAGACAAGAAACGAACUAAAAACACAAAACCAUAAGCUAAAUUUACAAUUCGUGGAUUGCUGUAUCGCAUUGAGCCUAUCACAGACACUGUCCUUCCAGGAUUGCAAUCAUGAUCAUCUGCCACAGCCAUCCUAUUUUAAAAUGUGCUACAUUCUCUUGCUUUAACGGUCCACAUUAUUUUACACUCUCCUCCCAAAAAAAUGUUAAAAGGCAUGUGUAUGUAGUAAGCCUUGGUGUUGGUAAAUGGGUUUGGGCUGCAACAUGGGCUCAACUGAAAUUAUAAGCCCAUUUUAAACCGGAACACGAGGUUAUAAAUGCUAGCCUUUAUGUUGUUUUCUUGCUUCUAAGAAGGACCACCACAAUUAAAGCCUCCUACUGUAUGUCAUCAUUCAAGUCAUCAGCCUUAAUACAUGUAAUGUAAUACUCAUGGUUUAGCUUGCAGUUUGGUACGAAUUUGCUCCUUUCACGCACGUUAAAAAAUAUAAUUGAGGUUAAUCAAUAAGUUAAACUUGUCGACCUCAAUUAAGGCCAUCGUUAUCAAGAAAGUUGUCCUUGGUUGGAUACCAAUUACCAACAAACAAAAAACAAUUAAAAAUCAUUUAGACGCAAAGUAAACAUGAUAUCGUGGCACCUAUUUAAUUUUAAUAUUACAACCAAAAAGGCUAUUUAACAAUAUAAUAAAAAAACCAAAGUUGAACGGCCCAUGAAACAUCAUAAAACGGCAUGCAGUCCAGUUCUUUGAAACUCAGACGCUACGUUGUCCAAUCACAGACCAAAGCAUAUCCGCAUCUGCACGUGCGAGGAUUCCUAGCGAGAUAUAUAGAUACCUAUAGAAUACAAUACACACAAGUUCGUCUUCAUUUCCGCAAAAACCGUUGAAAGAGGUUCGGUUCAGGUUCGUUUCUCUUGUCAAUUUUUUUUUUUUUUGCGAUAAUUCAAUUAUCCUUGCCGCUCAUUUUUUUCAGGUUCUACGGUCUGAUUAUAUGAAUUGUGAUUCUAUUUUCGGAUAGUAUAAAUGUUUCAUUUUCAAACCCUUAGAUCUGAGAAUUGCGUGAUGAAAUUUGAUUAAUCUAACCUGCUCUCUUAAAAAUUGUUAGGUUGUCUUUUGUUUAUCGUAUCUUCACCAUGAAGUUUCUGGAGUACACCAACCUUGACAGGUUCAUUUGAGUUUUUUUUUUUGGUGAAUUAUGAGAAUUUUAGCUGUUCCUCUAAAAGGGUUUUGAUUGCAGAUUGAAUGUGUUUAUGGGCCAUCUAAAUCUUGGAGAAAGAACUAUCAAAGGUUGCCUUGAAGCUUAUUCUUGUAAGGACAUGUUCUUGUUCUUCUGUGUCAAAAGAUAUAUCUUGUAAUCUUACAAAGAAAAUAAUAUAAUUUUUUUUUUUUGAUAGGUAAACAUGCUGGAACUGAUAAAAGAUUGUCUCUUAGUUUGGAGAAUGAGGUAUUAUUACAAUCAACCAUGUGAUUUGGUCUUAAUCAUUGAAUGUGUACAGCUGCUGCUUGUUGACCUUAAUUUUUUAAUUGUUUCUUGAAAUCAGAUGCUGGAUUAUCUUGGGAAAUCUUCUGACACUGACUCAUCUUCACCUGUUGAUCUCUUGUUAAGCAGAUCAAGGUUAGGAAUCAAUGUUACACAGCUUUUUUUUUACCUUUCUUUUAUAUAUAUAUAAAAUGUAUAUCUUCUUUACAUAUUAUAUUGUAUUGCUUAUUCCACAGUCGAAAAGCUUUGAUCUACUUGGUUCUUACACUGUAUCAGAUGUAUCCGGACUACGAUUUCAGGUAACUACAUGUUUGUAAAUCUUUUAAGGGAGGGGGGAUUAUAUGGGUAAUGUUCAUUGUCAGCUUCUUGAGCGACAUGGCAACCCGCUAUAUAUAAUCCCCCCUUUUAAAAUCAGUCUGGGAGUGUUGUCAGAAGGUUUGACCAACGGUUCAUUGAACUGUUGCUAGUUGAGAGUUCAAUUCUCUCCAUUUCCCCAAAAAUGCUAAACUAAAACCGGUUGUGUGAAAAAAGUUCGAUCAAGUGUCUGACUGAACAUGGAAGAGUCCAUCUAUGUGUAUAACUCUAUCACUACUGCAUUGUUGUUUUUAUAUUUUGUUUUCAGCGCUGUGAAAGCACAUCAGUUUUUCUCGGAGGAGAGCUGGGACACGUUUACUCAGAUUUUCAACAACUAUAUGUUUGAAGCUUCUAAGGUAUUCUAAGUCUGUUAGAUGGAGAUUUUUUUUAUCAAUUGUAUCAUAUGGAUUCUCUAAUCUGUUUUAUUAGGAAUGGACUGCGAGGAAUGAGGAUGGUUCCCUACUUGAGGCAAUCUACGAGGCUCUUGAUGAGGUAAGUACACUGUUGUAAUAAGAAACGUAGUAGAAGCUAGGCAAGAGUAAUGAAAAGAACUGUAAUCAUGCAAAUGUGCUACAGGUUGUGAAACUAGCUGAAUGUGAGAUAUAUGUUUACAACCCGAAUCCUAAUGCUGAUCCUUUCCUCGAAGAAGGAGCAAUGUAAGUUACAACAACUUUCCUUUUUUUUCUCUAACUAAAAGGCUGUUUCCUUAUCCUUUUUCUCCUGGUGGGUCAAAUCCAGAUGGUCUUUCUGUUUCUUAUUCUACAACCGGAAACUGAAGCGUGUUGCAGGGUUUCGUUUCUGCUGCAUAAGGUGAGAGUAAUUAUAUAGUUGUCUGUCUCUUUUACUCUCCUUAAAAAGUCUUACCAAUUCUAAAAAUGAUUGUUGCAGUAACCUGGCAAGUGAUGCGUUUCUGGCCGACACACCUCCAUAUGGAGAGGAUGAAGACAUCUUUGCCGACAUGGAUAUGUGAUCUCUCUCUAUCUUCAAGUUGAGCUGCACAGUCUGUAGAAAUUCUGUAUAUCAUCGUUGUUAGAUGUUAUGCUCUCUAGUCUCUAGGCUUGUGAAUCCAAGUCCCAAGGUUAAGCCCUUCGCUUUCCUUUAUCCGUGUAGUUAACCUAUUAAGUAUACUCUGUACCUUGUCAUGUCCAAUAAGCUUAUCAGACUUUGUUGUAAUAUCCCCUAAAUAAUGAGACAAAAAAUGUUGAAAUUUGUUUUGAUUUGUGUUUAUGUUCUGUCUCCUUCCAUUCACCAGUAGUCACCGCAAGAGCAAACUCCAUCAUGAAAAUGAUGGAACCGGUUCAUAUCUCGGAUGACAAGAUCUCGCUUCACGAUACUCGAUAUCACUUUCAUAGCACUGUGGCAAUCAGAGCAUAUCCGUAGAUUCUUGAUGAUCAAUAUGCGGUUUCUUGAUAACGGCAUUCGAACGAGCCCAAACGCCAGAGCCAACCUCUCGCUGUGAAACCACAAUCUCUUAUCCUUCUCUUCAUCAUCCAUAUCGUGCAGGACGGCAUUCCUAUCAGGAACAUAGCCAGCUCGUUUUGCUUUCCUGUUAAGCCACUCCAGCAUCCCAUUUACGAGCUUCAUAUCCGGAUGAUGCGAUAACCUUCCCACACUGAAGUAAUGCACGUCUCCUUGAUGUUCUAUCCAACUUAAGCCAGGUUCCUUCUUUACACCUCUCUCCUUCAUGCUUCUCCUAACGGAGGCAACAUUUGCCCAUUCCUUUGCACCUGCGUACAUGUUUGAUAACAGAACAUACGUCGCCUCAUCCAUUGGAUCGAUCUUUAGUAUUUCCUCUGCUGCUCUCCUUGCAAAAUCCACAUUGUUCUGAUCGAUCGAGGCGCUGAGCAUUGCCCGCCAGAUCAUAACGCUAGGCUCAUAUGGGAUCCCUUCGAUCAGCUUCAUAGCCCUCUCGAGCUGCCCUGAUCUUCCCAAAAGCCUGACCAUGCACGUGUAAUGUUCCAAACGUGGUUCAAUACCAUGAUCUCGAAUCAUCGACUCAAAACAUUCCACACCUUCAUCGAUUAAUCUUGCAUUGCUGCAUCCGGAAAGAACACCAAGAAACGUCAACGCGUUUGGCUUACAAUCACUCUCCUUCAUAACGUCGAAGAUUCUCAAUGCCUCUCUGCUCAGCCCAUGCGUUGAGUACCCUGAGAUCAACGCGUUCCAAGAAGGCACGACUUUGGUUUCUAUCUCGUCGAACACGGAUUGUGCGUCUUUGAUAUCACCACAUUUUGCAUACAUAUCUAUCAAUGAGUUGCUCACUGCUACUUUCUCGGCAUUGUUAGUUUUUAUCGCCAGGCCAUGAACUUGGGCGCCUAGCUCCAUGCUUGCCAAAGAAGCACAAACUCCAAUAGCACUUGAGCAAGUUACUUCAGUUACAGACACCUGGUUCCUGAGGGCUUCACGAAACAAGCUUAAAGCUUCUUCUGCCUCAUCUAGAUUCGCAUACCCGACAAUGAUCGUGUUCCAGCUCACCUCGUUCCUAUUUGAUAACUCAGCAAAUAACUUCACAGCGGUAUCCAUUUUCUCACAUUUGGCGUAUACAUCGAUAAGAGCAUUUGAGACAUAGACAUCCAAAUCGAACCCACCUUUCACCACAAGACCAUGAAGCUGCUUUCCUAAGCCAUGAUACUUCCCGAUGGCACACGCAUUCAAGAUACUGGUGAAAGUAAACUCGUUGGGAACAACGAAAGCUUUCCUCAUUCGGAUAAACAGAUCAACCGCCUCGUCACAAAACCCGUUCUGGCCAAAACGAGCAAUCAUAAGACUCCAAGGCACCACAUCACUCUUCGGCACCUCGCUGAAUACUUUGAGAGCAUCAGACAUGUCUCCAAGCUGCGUAUACAACUGAAGCAAACCAAUACCUACACGAGGAUCCAACUCGUAACACGUUUUCAAGAUUCUCCCAUGAACACUCUUGGCAUAACCAAACGCGCCUAGCCCAAUGCUAGCCUUUAAAGCACAAGCAAAAGUGUAGUUGUUAGGCAUGAAACCCUCCAUCCCCAUACGAGAAAGAAGCUCAAGAGAAUCCUCCAAGAACCCAUUCUCCACAUAGCAAGAUACAAUCCCAGCCCAAGCAACAACGUCCUUUCUCAAAAUCCCCUCAAAAACACUUCUCGCACUAUCAACAACCCCACAGACGGCGUAAGCAUUGAUAAGCGCAGCUCCGACGAAAGCAUUGGAGGUGAAACCGAGCUUAACUAUAAAAGAAUGCAACCACCAACCGAUCUCAGCUUUGUCUGCUCUGACGAACCACUUCAAGAAGGAAGUGAACACGUGCGGAUUAAGCUUAUGACCUUCUCGAUGCAGCCUGGUGUAAAGACCAACGGGAUCUUCGCACGCGUUGGCUCGACUGAGAGUGACGUACGAGACGUGGUUUCUCUCAGGCAUUUCGUCGAACAGGUUCGACGCAUCUUUCGGGAAGCCUGUUUUGACGUAGGCGUCGAGGAGAAUGUUUGAAGCGAAGAGGUCUAAGCGGAUGCCUCGCUUGACGACGUCGCAGUGGAUAGCCUUCGUUGAGAUUGGGUCGUUUUGAUCAAUGCAGCGACGGAGUAUUCGCCGUAAGUGUGAGAGUCUAAGCAUGGGGCUAUCGAUUCCGACCAUUCCAAUGCAGACGCAGCGGUUCGAACGGAAAAGUAACAUUGUCCAAAGCGUUUAAACCUGCGAAUCUCCGACAAAGUAAUUGCUCUAAGGAACCCGAUCAUGUGGAUUUCGAGCUUCGAACUUCCGACCGGAUCUUUGAUUCCGAUCACCGGCUAAUUGAAUCGAACCGCAGGUGAAAAAGGUUUACAUGUUAGAGACAAGACAUGAGUUCUCAUGUUAACACGUUUUCGUAAAGAGGAUAAACAUUAUAGCCCAUGAAAAAAUGGCCCGGCCCAAUUAAUAUCUUAGGGCGGCCCAUGUGAACCGAGUUAUUCGAUAACCAGAUUCAAACUAGGGCUUCAGGGAGUCGUUGCCUAUAAAAUAAAGAUUUAGCUGGUUUAGCUUUGCAGACAGCGAUCUCCAUGUGCUUUGUUGUAGGCUACAUAUUUUUUGAUUUGGUUAACUUCUGAUUUUCAGAAUGUAAUACUUUUUAUUUUGAUUUGAAAAUCUAUUGAAGGAAUGGGAGCAGAUGAUGAUUUUAUUUGCACUACAACGGUGCUUCCGAUUAACCAUGCGGAUUAUAUAAAUCGAGCUUUUUAAAACUGAUUCUCCCAUUCUUCAAUCUGUUUGUUGUGGAGAUUUUAUCACGCGGUUUAGUAGGUUGAUUUUGUAUUUUUAGCGAUGUCAGUAUAGAAUGAACGGUUUUUAUCAACAUGUUCUGAUUUUCUAGACUUGUUCAAAAAAAUAAAAAAAAUUCGCAGUUGUCAUAGUACUACUAAGAAUCUUUCUCUGUUUUAAAUCUUUGUCUGAAACUGAUGUGAAUCAAAAGUACGGUUCUGCAAUAAAUGACAUGUUUUCCCAGCUGUUACUGUGUGAUUUAAUGAAGAUUCUGAUUGGUUACUCGAUAAUCUUUGUAUUGGUGGUAAUGACAUUUGAUUUGGAAUAAAUACGUCUUUAUGGAUGUUUUUUUUUGUAACUAAAAAGCGGAUGUUGUGGACUGACUUUGGUGUAUAGGCAAAAUAAAUAUUAAUAAUUGAAUCUUCUAUUUUAGCUUCAAAGACUUGUUCUGAUAUUAACGAUGGAACUAUUAAUAAGUUGGAAAAUUUGUUUGUUCCAAAAAAAAAAAAAAAGUUGGAAAAUUUGUUUUUUAAGAGCAAAAAAAUGAUAACUAUGUCUAUUUACACUAAUCUUGUAUACUUUAUGUCCUAUUAGACUAAUUAUUUUCAAAAUAACAAUAAUACCCUUAAAUUUAUAAUUUUUAAAUAUAAUAAAUAAUGAAUUCGUUUUUUUCUUGUUUUUUUUUUAAAAAAUUCGAUUUUUUUAAAAAAAAAUAUGAAAGUGAAUAUUCCCAAAUAUUUUGUUUCUAUAUUUUUAGUAACUGAUUUCUUAUCCGUAUAAUACAUCUAAUCUGAAGAAAUCGGUUUAUACAGGUUUUUUGAAUAAUAGUAAUGUGUAGAUUUUGAUUUCUACAUGUUUUAGAUUUACAGUAAAUCUGUAGAAGUCGGUUUCUACGUGUUUUAGAUUUAUACUAAUGUGUAGAUUUUGAAUUCUAAAGAUUUUAGAUCGGUAGGUUAAGCGUGAAAUGUGUAUUCUAAAUAUUUUUAGAAUACUUUUAUUUAUGUAGAUCAAAUAUUCUAAACAUUGUAGAUUCAAUGAAAAAAGUUGAUUUCGUUUUUUAUUUCGUAGAAUGUCAUUUCUACUUUAAUUAGAACAUAAUCUGAAAUUUAUAAUUUAAACAUUUUUAGAACUAAAAAAAUACCACUAAGUUCAUAUAGAUAUUUUAUCAAUAGUUAUCAUUUUUCCAAAAAAAAAUGUUUGUAAAACUAUUUAUUAAAUUUAUUUUCAAAGAUAUUAAAGGGUAUUAUAGACAAAACUUGCACAAAAUAUAUAUUAAUCUAAAAAGACAUAGUUAUCAUUUUUUGGUCUAAAAAAACAAUUUUCCCUAAUAAGUUUACUAGCUUAAUUUGCCAAGAGAUGUCAUAAUCUAUUUUUAAAUAGUGUUCACCUAAAUCAAUAGUAAUAGCCUUCUAAAUUGUUAAGCAAUAAACCAAUUUUAGUGUUGUUGUACGUUCAGCUGAUUGUAUCAAUAUAAGUAAAAUUGUAAAUUAUCAGUCAGAUUCGAAUUAUAAUUAAGAUGUAUUUUCUUUUCAGUGUAAGGGAGAGAUUACGUUGAUUUUCUGUAUUCAAAUGACAAACAAAUCAAAACCAUAAUCGGUAGCUGCAUAUUAGACUAAUUAGUUUGGCUUUUAAGCUGGUGUUUGGAAGAUGUCAACACUUAUUAACGUCGUAGGGCUGAAACCUAUAAACCCAUCCUCCUCUUUAACAGCUAUGCCAAUUAAUGUGUUCUUGUGAAACCCAUUAUUUCGAAUAUGCAAACUACCAUACAUGUAAUGACAAUAGAUGAUCAUGAUUUUAAGUUUCAAAUAUUUAAUUAGGGUUAUAGCGAUGAAUCUGUCUAAUCAUAAAUAACCUAGACGUAAGAUUUUUUAGUUUCAAUUGUAACAUGCCAACAUUAAGUUGGUGGUGCGCCGUAUACUAAUCGCUAUUGUUUCUUUAAUCCGGACACGCCAUGCUUUGUUAAUGCUAGUGAUGGAUACUAUUCAAUGGAAGUGGUAUUAGUUAAAAUGGCACGCAAAGUACGCUAACUUUAUCCGUCUAUUUAUUUUUCUUUCCAGUUAAACAGUUCCACCAAACUCGUGCUAAGACUACGACUUUUAAAACAUUAAAAAGUCACGUUAGUCGGCAAGACACGGCCAUAAUACUAAAAUGAACUAAUUCUCACGUGUUUCUUGAACUAAUUUCCAUUAGAAUACACGACAAAACUAACAAUAUAUAUUCAGAUACGUUAAGUUUAAAAUGGGCGAUGGUCACAUUUCUUUUUAAUACGUAAACGAAGCUUCAUGAGAAGCCAAGAGACGUGGUCAUUUUCUUUUCCAAAUACUUAAAUUCCAACAAAAGUAGGGGGAAAUAUAUAAGAAAUAUACUUAUACCAUAGCGCAUAGCGUCAAUGAACAUUAAAAACAAUAAACAUUUAACAAAAUAGCAACAUAUGCUCUUAUAUUACAUACUAAUCUGCGAAAGAUAGGGGAUUCCAAAAGAUUGAGGAGAAGCCAAAUGCGAAACGAACAUCGAUGUCUUGGAUGGUUACAUGACCAUUUGGUUUCGUGUCCCAAUCAAAAAAGGAGAUAAGGGCUUUGUUUAGGCCGAUGUCGGAAAGUAAGGAGAUGUUGAUACUACUCUGCAAACACACAAAAGAAAAAAGGAAAAAAAAAAAGUGAAAACGCGUUUCAUAGUAACAGUUACAGUAAGUUACAGAGAACACGUCAAACAAAAGUUUUAAUUUUCUUUCGACUUUUUAUCAUCACUGAUGAUAAAUCGAAUCAUUUUGUCAGAGAUCACCUUGUCGGAAGUCAACACGUUUUUGCAGCUUCAUAAUAAUCUACGCUUUCAUUUUAAUUUACGUAGUAUCUACGUAUACGUAGAACCAGAAGCAUGUGCUUUGUGAACUACCAGAAGCAUGUGCUUUGUUGAACUAUCAGAAGCAUGUGGUUUGUUGAACUACGAGAAGCAUGUCUAAAAGUUGCAUUAGGCACGAGACCUAACGACUUUAUUUUUUGCCAAAUGAGACCUAAUUUCUUUUCAUGGGUUUAAAUGAAAUAUUUUUAAAAUAAAUGUAAAAGGUCGACGCAGAGAACGAAAAAAAAACUUUUAUUUUGUUUUUGGGUUUAAUAUCUCGGAUGGUAGGAGAACAAUUACCUCUCCUUGCGCUUCUCAAGAAACCUUUGCAGUGACUUCCUCCUUGCGAUGGGAAGAUCUGAACACACACACAAACCCAUUUUAAGUUAGGUGUCAAAAAUAAAUACAGUUAACAAAUGGUGAAUCGGUCCGGUCCAUGAUUUCUGUCGAUUCUUACUAACUUGGUUAAAUGUUGGUAAGGGUAACCACAAACUCUUUUCAUAUCACACGGUUACACUUCUACAUGCAACUAAUAUCUAGUAAUAUUCUACAAGAGUCAAAGCACUGGGUGACUGAUCAUUGUUAAUGUUUCUACUAACCUCCAUCUAUAUUCUGGCCAAAGAGCUUUGUUCUUAAGGUGGUCGGAGGAAUUACCGAGAGAUCUUUCUCCAUAGAUUUGUCUUUCUUUGGUGAUGUUUCCAUGGCCACCUUCAUAAUGUCCUCAGCUUUGUUAGGAGACACUUGGAAAACUGAGACGGUCCCAUUGUAGAAAAUUGUCAUAGGUACAGUUCCAGAGACAAGUUCUGUACUGGGCCUGAGGAGAUGUUUUAUAACAAAAAUUCAAAUAUAUUUAGUUUGCUUCUUGUUGCCCAAAAUGGCAAAAAAGUUAAAAUAAUACUUAACAAAGAAAACAAGAAAAUAACCUGGUGAGAGGGGCAUGGACCGGAGAAAUCAGGAUCCGUUGAUGAUCUUCCUUUGGAGUAGACGGAACCGAUAGAGAUCUGGUCGAGGUAUCGGAAGGGUUAGCACCAGUAGCUAACAGCGAUUUGAUAAUCUCCGGAUCCAUCUUAGAAAUCGCACCUUGAAUUUCUGCAUGAAAAAUAUUCCCAGAUAAAGAUCGUUUAGGACCACACAAAAAAAAGUUAAAGAAGAGAAAAGAAAGAAAGAAAAAAGUACAACGGCCGAACCUCGGAAACUACGACCGCGGUCAAGAAGUUUCUUGAACUUAGGCUUAGGACCGUUGUUGGUCUGCUUCUUCUCAAGACCGAAGAAGUCAAGCUCUGUGGUAACCUUAGACAUGUUUGGUUCUUAUUUCACGUUGAAGCAGAGAGAUAAAGAAAGAGAGAGAGAGGAGAGAGAUAUGAAGGAGAUGAUGUUUUUUUAAGAUGAAGACGCGCGAGAAGAAGUAAUGAUAAAAAAUGAUUUUUCAUGUGAGUUUAAAAAGAAUUUAAUAAAGUGUACCUGUCUAAUAUAACGCACGAGGUUCAUGCCGUGUCAUUAUUUAUGGCACAGAUGGGCAACUCUAACUCAUCCACUUUCUUUUUAGUUUCUGUUUGUUUUCUUUUUCUUUAUUCGAAAUUUUCUUGGUUAGGCUCCUAGUCUCUUCCUAACUAAUAUUUUAAUGAUUAACACACAUGUUAAUGAGAACCUAAUACUACUAUUCAUAAAUAAGAUAUUUAUAUGAUUUUCCCGGAAAUAACGGAUGUCCAAUUGUACUCAUUGUGAUCGUAUCUCAUAAAAUAUCUUCAAAUCCUCCUAUUGGAUCCAAAUAAUUUGUGUGUUAUAUAAACAUUGUCACCUUGGGUUGUUCUGACAUCGUACGUUUUGACGUUAUGUAAUUUGGAGAUCUAUAUCAAUUUCCAGGCAUGAUAAAAUUUAUUAACUUCCUUUUCUUUUUCUUAUGACAUAUUUAUCGAACAGAAAGAAAAUUUUGUUGCAGUGUUUUUCCGAAUUUGUAAUGUAUUGCAUUUGCAUGUACUAUUUAGAAUUUUCAUUACAAAAAGGCCAGCAAAUAGAACAAUACAGCUUUGUGAGGAUCCGAAAAUGUAUUUUCUUGCAAUGUUGGCUUUGUGUUCCUCCGCUGUCACUGUACGUGAUCUGCUGCAAUACUAUACUUUUGCUUAUUUGAUGAGUUUUAUAUUUAUUAACCAGAAAAAGCUAAAGAAGGCUCCGAAUGGUAACUGCAGUUUGACCGGUGUGGGACAAACGGUUUAAUUGCAGUGCGGUUUUAACAGUUAUAAAAGUGUAUAAAUAUAUGGUAUAUGUAGAGAUUUUUGUUACUGUUAACUGCGGUGCAGGACGGGGCGGUUCGUAACAUUCGAAAUCUUCUUUAGCUUUUUCUGUGAAGUUGUCCAUGCGGUAAUUAAAUGUCUUGCAUGUACUUCAAUUAAAAGUGUCCAUCGGAAAAUAGUAUUCCACGACAGAUAUUAAAAGUCAGUCUUACUGAGAUUUCAAAAUGAUCUUUCAUCGUUAUUAAAGAUACAGAUUAGAUUAGUUGACUCAGCUAAUCGAAAUACAUUUCCAAAAAGUUAUUCAUUAUUUUAUUUAAUAAAAUAAUUUCGUUAUUUUAAAGGAUUACAAAGAUUAGACAGUAGAAAGAUGGGGGAAGGAUGCUACACAUGCAUCCCUUUAGACUGUAAUUCCGCGUUAUAAAUUUCUACUUUAACGUUGAUAAAAAAAAUCUGUUUUAAGAACAUUAUUACUGAUUCUGUGUGCUUCCCUUUCCAUUUCGGCUUCAAAGACUGUUUAGGAUAUCUCUAAUUUAUAAUAUUAUUUUAAUAUCAAAAUCACAAAACUUUUUAAAUCCAACAAUAAAAGCUAACGAGAUUCUGUGUGAAAUCACAAUAAAAUAAAGUUUCGGAGUUGUGUUAGAAAUAAUGUAUAACUUUGUUAAUGACGUUUGGCGGGCAAGGGUAGCAAUGAAUUCUCAAUCAUUGGGCACUACUUGGAUAUAAAUUUGCUCAUUUAACUUGAUAAAUCGUUUAGUUUUAAGUUGGUAUAUUUGUUUGUUGCCUUAAGUUACCUUAGAGUCGAUUUUAGCUACUGCCUUUAUCUGGGCUCUUGCGUCUGGAGAUUGUUUAGAUCAUCUUCAUCCCCAUUUCAUAAUUUAUUGUAAAAUAGAGUAAUGAAAAAACAAAAAAAAUGAUUACUAAAUUAUUUUUUAUUGUUUGUUCAUACUCUAUUUUUCACUCUAUAUUUGAAGUAAAUUAUGGAGUGGGGAUAAAGAUACCCUCAUGUAUGUUUCUUUCAAAUAAAAUGUAUUUUCCUGUGAAAAAAAAACUUCGUUAAUGUCGUUUGUUUUUUUAAAAAAAAGGUAUAAUCUCGUGACUAGUCGUGUUUACUCUGGAGAGUCGUGCGAAUAAGUAUAAAUGAAUACAGUAAGAAAAACGAAAGAGAAAGAGUCAGAUGCAUGUCUUUCACGUGUUAGAGAGAUGUAGUUAAUGUUAAGACACCACUAGGCAAGGUGCACUCUUCUCCAUAAGUCUUUAGUGCUUUCGUCGCUUUCUCUCUUUUCCUCACAUUCUGAUUUGACUCAGCCUCUUCUCUCUCUCUGAUUUGACUCAGCCCCUCUCUCUCUCUCUCUCUCUCUCUCUCUUCUCUCUCUCUCUCUCUCUCUCUCUCUCUCUCUCUCUCUCUCUCUCUCUCUCUCUCUCUCUUGAGUCAGUUAAAACGCCUUCUUGAUUUGGAUUAGUUAUUUCAUUCACCUCACGUUUUCUCUGUGCUGGCGGUUUGAUGACGAUAUAUUUUUCAAGCCGACCAACUUGCCCCUCUUAUCUACCUUCCAUAUACCAACUUGCCAUUCAUUUUGUCUUUAAUCUCAUCUACACAAAUUAUUUAACUACUGUAUAAAAAGACCUUUUUACUUUGUUUAUCUCAGCUCAUAAUGUAUAGUUGUAUACUACCACUUUUAAAAGUUGAAUAAGGUUGAUGUAAAAUCUAAGUAACUAUAUACUGAUUUUUUGGUUUUGGGUGUCAAAAUCCACGCCCUCAAACGUGUUACAACCUAUAUUUUCUAAUACAAUCUAUAUUAACUAAAUUCAUAUUAACCUUUCAUUUUGCGUGUUCAUAGUUACAAAAAAUGUAAGGAACUAAAUGUUUAAAAUUCGCCUGAGUUCAGUUUCUUAUAGGAAUUAAAUGACUUUUCUCUCUAGGCAAUUUAGCCUCUUAGGCUAUGGCCCAAGUGUUUACCCUUCGGUUUGCUUAAAAAGUCUAAAGGGACAGGUUCUAUCAAAAUUCUCGAGGAAUGAUCAAACUAUCAGGCCUUUCAAGCCCAAUAUUGGGUGGGGCAGGAAAGCUCGUAAAAUGGGAUUUAUAUUUUGAGCCUGUUUCGAGAAAAUUCGCAAGGAGAUGCAUUCAACUGCAGUUAAAAAUCUCAUUUAAAGUACACGCGUAAUCGUCAAAGAUAGAAUUAGACUUGCCAUUAAAGAGUCGUAUUCCGUUUCGCAUUGACCUCACAACCAAGUUACAUCGAAAGAGUAUAGUCGGAGUUUUAAUUUCGCGCCGGGAUUGUACCGCCAAACGUUAUAUACCUUUAUUUAUGACGUUAAAAAAUUUAUUCAGCAAACGUCAAAAAAAAAAACCAAAAGCAUGAAUCUUUCAGUCAACAACGACAAGCUUGCUAUACUCUUCCUUUGAUAUAGCAGCCUCCAUAAUAGCCAUGGGAUUAAUCUCUCCAUCAUUAUCCAAAAACAUCUUGAUCAGAUUCUUCGAAAACCCACUCACCAACGCUACUCCCUUCUUGCUCCCACUCACCGGGGUCGAACUCGAGUCCCUCAAGUUCCAAAACACUAUCUCCGGCACCACGUCACCGUACCCUGCCUCCCUAUACUUUAUAGCAAUCGCCUCGUAGUCCGUUUCCCAUGUAUUCGCGACCUGUCUAGUACCACCAUAAUAAGACACCGAAGACGAGGUCGCGGCUUGAUCAAACUCCAUGUCGCUGAACACGAACACUCUCUUGAUCAUCUCCUCCGGCUUCAACCUCCCAUCGACGGCAACUUUGAGAAUCAGAUCAAACACCUUCUGAAAAUCAGUGUUCAUCCCCCACUUCAUCCUCCUCACGAACCUCGUCUUCGUCCUCAGAUCAUCUCCCUCCACCACCUGAAGCUCGGGAUCGCCGCUGAACGUUAUCAUCUUCCCUCUCCACGGCUCCUCCGUCAGCUCCGAGAUGAGAAGCCCCAAGGCGACGGAGACCUCCAUCGGAUCCCCGGUCAUGGACCCCGAGACGUCGGAGAUCGCGAUGCAGCUCGUUAAGGAGCCUUUCUUCUUUAAAUCGUCCACCAUUCGUUUCCACUGCAGCUCGACGACUUGUCCGCCGUCGCCUCCUUCCAGCUCGCCGAUGAUCUCGUGAGGUAAGACAGCGCCGGCGGCGAUCUUGGUAUUCCCUUCUCUCGCGUCGGCUAGAUACUUCUGAAACCUCUCCGCGUCGUGGUUUAAGAAUAUCUCCUUGUAAGACUUCAUCGCCACGGAAGCUACUCUGUUGUAAGGGAGAGAGCCCCAUUCUUUAGCUCCCAUGUAAACCUCUGGUAGCUGCAGAGUCUUUCGUAACGGAACAAGAACUUGUUUCCUUAAGCGGUCACGCACUCUGUACGCGUAGUGAGCUUCCUCCACGCCUUCGUACUCCGGGAAAGAUUCGCGAGGGAAUAUUCUUCUAGCGAUGCUCUCGCAGAGAAGAGUCGCUUUGUCGAAGGAAGAGUCCAACGACGGACACCACUUAGCAGCUAAAGAGAUCUUGUUCGUUUCUCCAGACGCCAAGAACUCGAGAUCUUUCUUUAAGUAGUCUGCGAAUAGAUCGGAGACGCGUUCGUGGAGGAAACGGUAGUCCGGAUCUUGAGAGUAUCUAGUGAAAGCUUUCUUCCCCAUUGUAAUCUUCUCAAGCUUGCGGUCCAAUCUAGCUUUCGCCUUCUCUUCUUGGUUCCUCUUCUCAGCAUUAGCUAUCCUCAUCUCCCUCGUAGCCGCCGGCUUCUUACGUCCACGACCCUUAUGAGAGGAUCUCGACAAAUCAAUAAAGAAAGGAGCUCUUGCUCUACCUCUACCUCUACCUCUACCACCUCCAGAUCGAGGCGCGGAACGACGACCUUUCCUCUGUAGCCAUUCAGACUUCUGAACCCUACGGAUCUCAAACCCUUUCAGUAUCCUAUAAAGAAUCUCCGGAAAGUCUUUAAAGUAUCCAAACUUGGAUAAAGAGUCGAGGUUACACGCCAGGGUUUUGGGGUGGCAACCGUGUAGCCACAGCGCCGCCGUGUAAAACCCUUCCUUGUCUGACUUUCCUGUGCCGCGGACUCCGCGAAGGUUACAGAUAAGCUUGAGGGUGGUCAAAGCGUCGUGGCUCCAAGCCGUGGAGAGUCUCUGCUCUAUUGAUUCCUUGGGAGUGCUGGGAACGACGUGGAAGAAGAAGUCGAGGCAAGGGUUACCUGCGGAUAGGUAGGUCGCGGCUCCGUUCUCGGUUAGGCCCAUGGGAGGAGAAGGGGAGACGUUGACUUUGGUUGACUUGUUGAAGUUUGAAACCAUUAGGUCCAUGAAUGGAUCUCUGGGACUAGAGGUCGGGAGGGGAGAGUUGGAGUCUUUAAGCUCCGGGGGACCAAGCAAAGGUGAAGCCAUGGUUACUUUAGAGAGAGAAAAAAAUGAUUUUGUUAGAAGAGAAGGUGAUGAUGAUGAAAGUCGUGAGUCUUGUUGGUUUUAUUUAUAAAAUUCAAAGACUUGGAGAUCAAGUUCUUGAUCCGUAUUUUCCGUGGAGUGGAGGCGCAUAUAAACCGACGUUUAAAAGUCUCAAAACUUAAAAACUAUUUUUGAGCCCAAUAUAAGGCCCAUUAAGUGUGAAUCAUCUUCUAGAAGGGAUGUCUUGGGUUGUUAAGGCCCAUUAAUUUUCAGUGUAUCAUCUGUUCUAAAAAUGGAAUCAAUAGUCUGAUAUGCUUGGAUCUGUUUUGCAGUUUGAAACUUGGUAUUCUUUUGAUACAAAUUCACUCUUGGCAUUUUUGUUUUUAAGAAUUCUUAACUUAAGAAAACUAUCAAUGGAGGACUAAUUUUAGGUGUUUCUUAACAUAAUCUUUUAACGUAAUUUUAAUACUAAAAUAUUGCCUAAGAACCCACUUAGGGGUUACUGCAAUGAACAUACUUUAAACCGACAUUUAUGAAAAGACUUCAACCUUAAAACAAUUUUGAGCCCAAUAUGUCUUGGGUUGUUAAGGCCCAUUAAGAGUGAGUCAUCUUCUAGAAGUAAUAGGUCCAUAUCUCAAAGAGAAAAGUCAGAGGAGAAUCCUUCAAAUAAAAAUCGCAAUUCGGACUUUUCCCUUCCGCGUAAUUUCCCAGGAAAAAUCAAAUUUUCGUGGAAUCAGCUUCAUCCUUUCUUUUAUACUUAUUAUCCUCUCGCUGCUGUGUGCAUUUGCUUCAUCUCAAUCGUUGAAAAUGUCGAAAGAAGGAGAACCGGUGAUCGGAGUACCGUAUUACGCGGGGCAGAACCCGUACCAGGCGGGGAUCGUGCCGCCGAACGCUAUCUAUGGAGAUCCGAUGGGAGCUCCGAUCCAGCAAACGUUUUAUCGGGAUACUCCUGCUCCUUUCAAUUGCCUCUAUUGCGGCAAUACUGGUCUCACCCAUAUCAGGUAAACAUUAUCUAUAUACAAACCCCUUACACGAUUCUUAGAUUUUACGGUUUGUAAUCGUUCUACGACUUGAGCAUGCGAUCGUCUAUGUGAAUCUGCAAUAACAAUAACUUUGCCAGUGAUUUUUGAGUAGGAGAUGUUGAAUUUCGAUUGUUUGAACUUGGCUGCGUCCUUCAUUAGCUACACAAUAAUGUUUGAUUGAGAUUGAUCCACACCACUUCUUGUUGUGCGUGCGUUUAUUGUUACAUUAAUCGAGUUUAUUUACUUGAGGAUCUCUUCUAUUUUUUAUAACACCUAGGUGAAUGGGUUAUUGAUUUACGCUAUAAGCAACUCAUGCAGUUGAUCUUUGUGAUACAUGCUUAUAUAUAUAUUUGGAUUUGAAACAGAUCAAAACCGGGUGUAGCUGCUGUUGUGGCUUGCAUGACUCCGUUUAUGCUUGGAUUCUGUUUUCUCUGCCCUUCGAUGGAUUGCCUUUGGAACAAACAGCAUCAUUGCCCUCAGUGUGGGAAUAAGGUUGUUAUUUUAAUACGUCUUCUUCUUCCCUUUAGCUCUCGUGAUUAAAGAAAUGUUCUGAUUCAAAUGAUUGAUGUGUCUGCAGGUUGCUGACUUUGAGAAAUCAGAUCCCUGCCUGGUGAUGGAUCCGCCGCAGUGGACGCAAUCGAGCUUUGCACUCCCUGCUUGACAAGAUUGCAUUCUUUUCUUCUUCUUGUUAAUAUUACAUGUGAAGUUGAGACCUUGUGUUGCAUGUACCUACAAAAAAUUGAAUAUUCAGAAUAAACCCUGUAAAAUGUGUGAGAAAAGGAAUACAUUAUAUACAAUUGUCUGUAUCGUCCAGUGAUUCGUGAAUUGAACCGUCUAGUGUUUUGACUCUUGUCCCUUCUUUGGAUAUCAAACACUUGGCAGAUUGAUUCUUUUCCUCUCGAGAAACCCACAGGUAAGGAUAGUGUGAUGGGCUGGGCCGGUCCGAUCCCUUUUAAGUCUUUUCGAACCACGCUUGUUAUUGCUCUGUUUAAUGUUUUUUCAAGCUUAUUCUGGUUUUGGGUAUACAAGUUCAAAUUAUAACUGACAAAACCUUGUGAACAAAAAAAAAAAAAAAAAAAACUGACAAAACCUAAAUCUUCUCUUUUCCUACAUCUUUUUUGAAUCUGUUUGAAGUUUGUAGAUUUUUUUAUCUAAAGAUAGACCAGCUAAACAAAAUUGAGUCCAAUCAAAGUUUAGAUGAUAGCAACUUCUCAUGUCAAAACUGUAUUAUUGGUUGUGUUUAAAGCCCUAGACAAUAAGUAUUCUUGUUAUACUUCCCUGUCAAUAGAGGUCAUAUAGAUAAUAGCAACUUCUCUUAUGUUAGGAUGAAGCAUAGUACAAACUAUUGACGCAUGAAGACUACUUAUCAACUACAAGAUAUUUUACUGUUUUUUGUUUUCUUUCCUCCAUUCCCUGUUGGCAUAAAGUUUACUCUUUAUCUGUUCAUUUUGGGUUUUACAAAAGUAUUACCCUUCUUAUAUGAGUCUUUGAUAAGGGCAACAUCAAGUCAUGCAAAGAAUCCUUUAGCAACUUGAAUAAAGUUUGAAUUUUCUUUUUGUAAAUGGAUUUUGAUAGACUAAUAAAUAGGGAGUUGCGUGCAAAGGUGAAAAGGCAGAUGGAUUUUUAGUGCAGUACAGAUGUGCAAUUGUAGUUGUCACCACGCAUAUGCAUUGUCUGCUGGUUAUAGCGUUUAAAGCUUAGGCCAUCUCCAACCCAACUCCAAAACACUAUUUUAGUGUGAUUUUGACACAAAAACCUUCUCCAACCCAACACUAAAAAUCACACCAUUUUAGUGCAACACUAUAAUUUUACACCAAAUUUGGUGUGACACUAUUCACCACACUAAAACACUAUUCACCCCACUAAAACACUAUUCACUUAAUUUAUUAAUAAAAUAGACAAUUAAAUAAAUGAAAAAUAAAACUAUAAAUACAUAUAAUAUUAUAAAAUAGCUUUUAGUGUGAAAUUUGGUGUUAUGGUUGGAGAAAAACUUUUUUUUAGUGCUAAAAUUACACUAAAAUAGUGUGGUUUUGACACUAUAAUAGUGUUAUGGGUUGGAGAUGCUCUUAUAUAUCUCUUCUAUUUUGUUGGAAUCUGGGAACUAUAAAGAGUUGCCUCUUCGGCGUUUGAAGUGGCUUAACUUGUUAGGUUCUUUGGGACCAUUUUAGAUGUCUAUCUAUAACAGGAAUUUUAAUGUUUUGACGAAGUUCUGGGAUUAGUUCUUAGCUAUAAAUGUCUAAUCAUGCCUCAGAAAAGGGUCUAUUAAGGAAGAUACAACUGAAUCUUUAAUGGGGUCCAUGGUUUACAAUUUUCUCAAGAUAUUUGUAGAAAUUUCUUGAAGAUUGGAAAAAAAAGAGGACCACAUGGAAGAAAGUUAAACAUGUGAUGUAAGUAAAACUGCUCCUAUAUCAUACCCAUUUGUUAUUUGUCAUUAUGUCUCAGAAAGCUGAAGCUGAUCCUCAAGUCACUCCCUCACAAGGGGUUUUGCUUCUUCACACGCUACCUCUACACAAAAUAUCAAACACUAUCUGUUUGGGUAUUUUUACCUGUAUUUUAAUAUAUAGACCAAAAGAUCCAGAUUAUUUCGGACUAUGGAUCAUGUAGUUUACUUCCCUCUUCAUUAAUCAGCGUGGAAGUCAGGGCCUGGUCGAGCUCCCAUGCUAGAUUCAGUUGGUUAAAUGGAGUUUGUUUAUUUCUUGAACUAUAGUAUCCGACAGGGUGAUAAAUAAACAUCACGAUGCGGUGCGGUUGAUGAUGAUAUAAACCUUAAGUAAUUCAUUAGGGUAUUGAUUAGGUUUGUGUUGUCAUCAAGAAAUGAAUAUGGGAAGAGUCACAUCUCUUAGUUUUGCUUAAAGUCUAGGCAACAUGUCUUUGGGAGCUGACCUCAUUCUCUUCUGUAAAUGCUUUGUAAUAGGGCUUAUGGGAUCAGGCAAGAGCCGUAAAGAGAUUCUGGCACUAAACCCAAAUAAAGGAAAAAAAAUGAUGAAAUAAAUUAUAACAACUCUUGGGUUUAUUCGAGUUUGCUUACCCAACUAUGUUCCAUCUUGUUUUAUGUAGUUUAAUUAUGGUGUGGUAGUUGGGAGUGAACAAAAUACGAAAGGAAAAGGAUUUGGGUACAAGAGAUCUAUAUAUCUUUUUCUGAUGAAUGAUGAUGCAUUUUCCCCACCUUCGUAGUGUUUCUUGUGAAAUUAAUAAUAAAUCUCAGCUUAUUAGUACAUCUUGUCUUUAGGUGUCUCUCAACUUCAGUUGCUAUAAUAUUCUGGAUUAGCAAUUUAACAUUUACUUUCUACGUUUGCAUUUGUAGUUUUUGUUUGCGUGUAGCUUUGGUUUGUUAUUAGUUUUACAAUUCACUACCAGAGUAGAGAUGUUUCCCUUUUUAUAGUUUAAACAUUAAGACAAAAGUUAAGUAAAUCUAAGGCGAAUUAUACAUACAUAUUGAAUGUGGUUGGUGGAAGUGACACAUAACCAUGCAAUGUGAGUAAGAAAAAGGCGUGUGGGUAAUGGCUGAUUUGUGAAGAUGUGUGGGUCUUAGUCUCAACUCUCAAGUCGCAACCCACUUGGAAUUUUAUACAAAUUUGAAUUUCAUAAAACAAGUCAGCCUUAUACGACUCUUCCCACCUUCUCUUCUUCUUUAUUUCUACUCUUUUCUUUAAUAAAAAUUUCGUGAUAUGCACAUGUAUCUGCUAAUAAAUUUAUUAACAAAACGUUUUAGUUUAAUAGAAUUUCAAUUAUGUUUUGCCAUAUUUUGACGUUACUAUGUAUACCCUAUGAUUUAAAUUUAAAAGUAACGUUGGAUAUGUUUCAAAUCACUUAUAUAUAUACACCACACCAUGUUUAUUAAUUCUCUUGUUAUUUUUUUUAGUUUUUUAUAGAAAUUAUUAUGUUUUUGUUUACAAUACAUUGAAUCAGUUGUUAUGGAAGAGUAUUAUACUAUUAUAUCUAUGCAAAAAUCGGUGUACUACGCGGGCCAUAUUCUAACAUAUUGUCCCUAAACGUAUAAUCGGAGUCAAAGAAGUAACUUGUGGGCAAAACAGAACAAAACAUUUGAACAAAUCCACUUUCCACUAUUUAUAGCAAUAAUCCCGUACAGAGCAUCCAAGAAUAAAAUUUUCUUCUUUGCGUCGGAAAUAUAUUGUUCACCCUUCCUUGUGGCAUACGGAACAUGAAAACACAAUCCUUAUACAUAUAUUAAAAAUUGGAAACCAAGUUGUUAAUCAAUUUGACUCGGUUGAUAAGCACUAAGAUGAUUGGGAUUGCUUGCAAGUACAAUAAAUCGCAACUAUAUGCUGAGCACCACUACUAUCGAAUAUGUGUGGACUAGUAAGAAUUAGCAUAUAUAGGUUACGUAUCAGGUAACUUAGUCUUUGCUAUUGACUUCAACUAAUAAAAAUGCCUACACCGACGGGUUUUUUUCUAAAUGCAUUCUUUCAAAGAUUUUUUUCUUAAAAAAUAAUAUUGAUUUAUACGAAUUAUAUACAAAACAGAAUAAUUUUGUAAUUAUAAUAUGAGUAUCUCACUUUUUGUGGAAAAUUGCCUAUAUUUAUAGGUUAGGCUUUUUUCCAAGGCAUAUAAACAUUAGUGGAGAUGAACGAGCGAGUUAUUAAUAUUAUUUUUCAGCAAAAAAAAAGAGUUAUUAAUAUUAUCUUGUUUUUAACAGAGUUGUUCCAUUAAUUCGAAUAUCUAUUUGCGUAUUUUUCUUUGGUAGGUUUUGUGUCUCGCUAGGUCGAACAUUCAUCAGACCGUCACCUAACUUUUCAAUUCAGUUACGUAAGGCAUAGUAAUUCGAUGGAGACCCAAGUAACAGAUGCUGUUGAAACAUAACUCAGUAACUCACAUAGAAUGUUUUUUUUCAACUGGAGUAGGUUUGAAGAUUGGAAUGGAAUCUAUAGAUAGAGAGAGAGAGAGAGAGAGAGAUUUGAUCCUCCUCGAAUAUAUUAUCCUUACGGAACUUGGUUCUUAAUAGGGAUUUUUGAAGCUCUUAAUUAUGCUCUCAUAAAAUAUGUUAUAAAUUUCCAUCUACUUUAAUAUUUGAAUCGAUUCUUGCAUAAAUCUUUCUUUCUAGUCCUUCCAUGUAAAGAAUCCUAUGACGACAGAGAUUGUUUCUCCAUAUUCGUAAGAAAGAAUCGUCAAAGGUGAUAAAAUCUGUGAGUUUCUAUCUUUGUUCUAUUUUCUCCUAGCAAUACAAAUAAUCGGACUACAAGACAUAAUCGGACUGUCGCUAUAGAACAACAAAAAGUGAAAAUUUUCAACUCUCAGUUUGUUUUUUUCAAUCAUAGUAAAAUAGCAUUCGGUAGAAGGUGGGGUAGCUUUUAUGUUCACAGUGAAGCAUUAUAACAUGUUUCUUGUCUAUAUGUUAAAUUACCACAUGACUGAAAUUGCCAAAUUGUUACACGGUGAACUCAUGAACAUCAUAGCUAAAAACAUUUGAUCCCACAAGACAAUGUUAUUUUUUAAUUGGAUUAUUAUAAAAGGUUAUGUACCGUAGUACGUAGUUGUUUAGUACUAAGCUACUUGCCUCACUAUCCUUUAAAUUCAGUGAGCUAUAUACAUAUAAUUUAGUUCAAAUUUAAACAUAGCACAUAAUAAAAAUAACAGAAAUUACACCCCCCCCCCCCCCCCCCACCAAAAAAAAGAAAAAUUAACUUACCACAUUCUUUUUUAAAAGAAAAUUAACUUACCACUUACAAGUUAGGGAAAUAUAAAACCUAACCUAAAGCAUUUUUAUAAGUGGGGACCUUAUGUGAAAUCAGUUUUUUUUUUUUUCCGUCAAGUUUUUUUUAUUAAAUAGAAACGGGCCUAGCCCAAUAACCUUACAAAAUAGCAAGCCCACGGCCCGAUUAGCUAAACAAACACCAAGGUAAAAAAAAACGGGCCUUAAGCCCAACAGCCCAAAACCGACACUGCCCAAAUCCCACGACACAUGUCGGCUUAACUUCUUCUUGUCUCUUACCGGCGGUUCAGCCGACCGGUUCAGAACCGUCGAACUUGUCACGGGGGGCUUCAUCGGACUAACCGAAAGCUCAUCCCCAACAUCAGACGCCAUCUCACGACCAUUAAAACCGAGACUCGAAACCUCAACUCUCCUUCUCUUGUCGUCGUAACCGAUGGUGGAGAGCGUCAUCUUCGACCAAGAGCUCAUCCUUUUUCCGAGCAUACACCUUGACGACAAGAUCCAUAACACCGUUUCCACCAGAACCCAACUAGUACCCAAACCCAAAGACAACAGGUCCUAACCCGACCGCGUAGAGCAAACGUGAGCCUCUACCCUCCGGAACCAAAACCGACAGCGUAGAGCUGUGUGAGCCUCUACCCUUCGGAGCCAAAACCGACGAAGAAGGAGCAUAUAUUACCUCAUCUUCCCGGGAACUUGAACCGGCGUCGGCGAAGCUGAAGGAGCCUCCACCUCCCGGAGAAAAGCCGGCGUCGACGGAUCUGUGGUAGCCUCCAUCUCCCGGAACCACCACUCGAACAUGCAAGCCGAUCUUCUCACGCCAUGGCCUCCACGCGAGCGCGUCGUCCCUCCAAACGAGGAAACCACCUUCGGAUGAUGGCUCCAAUCCAGAGCUCCGACAAGGCACUCAGUGAAAGGCGACGGAGAAGAAGCAAAAAGAAACAUUUUGACGGAAAGAGGAAGGAUCCGGCGGCGGCACGGACGCUCACGCGCCGGCCUUACGCCGGAUCCGAUCUCAGAUCUCCUUUCUCUCUCCUUUCUCUCUCUAAAUCAACUUUUUUGUGUUUGGCUUUCUUCUUUCUUAUGUGAAAUCAGUUCACAUCAUUGUAAACAACCAAUAGUUUUUUUUUCUUAGGAUCUCAGUUUGAAAUGAGUAAUUUUAUAAUUGUGUAGUUUCCACCGAAUAAUUAUGACCUUUUUGACAUUAAAAGAGAUAACUACUCAUCUCACUCUUAUUACAUUUUCUGCACUUUUGACAAAAAGGCUCUCUUUGACAGCCUCUCCGUGCUAUUAUUACCCUUUUUAGUUGUAAUCCUCCAUGCAUAUAUCUAAUCAUACUUACAUAAUACACUUAAAUGCCAUCAAACAAUUAAAAAAGUACACCAAAAUAGGGUAUACACACAGAGACACAAACAUAUUAAUAAUUUCACGGUCACGUGCAGAGUGGGAAUUUUUCCAACCGUAAUAGUUUCCACUUUCAUAAUCAUAAUACAAAUUUAUGUGAUUAAUAAUAACGAGACAUUAUAAGUUUUUAUUAAAAUUAUGAAUGCUUUUAAUUUUCGGCAUGGGAUUGUCAUGUCAUAAACCUAAACAACGUAUAGUAAGCUAUUGCUUCUUCAUCUUUAUUUCAAAUGUGUAUUUUCGGUUUGUGGUAUAGUAUCUCCAAGUAAAGAACAUACACGUGAAAAAACGUACAAUGACUUAUAAACGCAUAUUUAUUGCAAUUGGUAGAUCGUCUGUGACAAGAAUUGUAAUAAAGUUGAUACAUUUUUUCAUGAAAUUCAACUAGUUCAUGAAAUAUAUGUUUUAAAAAAAAAGAUUUUUUUUUUUUUUUUUUGAAAAAAAAGAUUUGAAACAAAGAACAAAGACUCGUUUCCAAGUAAAAUGGAAAAAAAAAAAAGCAGAAUGGUAUUAAUAUAAAAUUGGAAAUUAUUAAAAGAGUUAUUAAAGAUAGUCAACAUUAAAAUUAAAUUAAAGAUUUCGUCUGAAACUAUUGCAACUACUGGUCUCUUCAUCAGAAGAGAAUAUCUCCGUCGUGAGUCCACUUGAAGCGUGGUCGGAAGAAGAAGAGCUUGGCAAAAGGUUCAAGUCUGUGGUCCUUUCUUUUCUCAUGAAAUCGAAGAAGAUUGGUUUAGUUUUAUCUUCAGUUUGGUUUGUUGUAAUUAUUUCAGUAUGGUCAUUAUCAUAUCUUAUAUUCCGGUUAUCUCCCUCGUCGCCGUCGCUCUUGCUGCCAGCUCUCUUUUUAAGGAAGAUACGACAAAGAACCCAGUUCUGAGUAGGACCCAUUGAACUCUGCAGAGAGAACAUGGAAUCUAAAUUUUAGUGAAAUUGAAUGGUGGAGAAAACCGAAGACUGAACCGGAAAUUGAGAAAGAGAGAAAGUUGUACCGGAGGAGAGGAAGAGAGACGAUAUUCGUGCAUGAUCCAAUCGGUUCUUGAGCCAUGAGGUGGUUUGCCUUUGUAGAAAACGAGUGUUUUCUUCAAACCAACGAUUUGAUUUCCUCGAGAGGUCACAACCCGUUUAUCAAUACCGGUAGCUUUCCAAUAACCCGAACCGGUUGCUCGGUUAGACCGGUUCCCAUUUGGGUACUUGGCUUCCCUUGUGCUGAAGAAGUACCUCUCCUUCUCCAAAUUGCCUGGCAGAAAUAGAGAGAGUUUAACAAGCAUGAAAGGUCGCUGGUUCGAAACCUAAAUAGUACAAAAUAGCAAGAACAAAAACCAACCAGGCAAGUCCCAAGGAUCAGCUCUGCAAACAUCAAAGUCAGGAAUGAUGGAAGCUGGUAAUGGAGAAGACAAGACUUUUCUCUUGAGAUACUGAACCACAAGUUCCUCAUCAGUGGGAUGAAAUCUGAAUCCAGGUGGUAAUCUCAUAACACCAUUCUUUACAAGUUUAACCUUAUCCAUAGUUCCAAACAAAGUGGAGAGAUAAAUCACAGAAGGAGAUGGAGGAAGAAGACAGAGUGCGGUGUAGGAAGAGGGAAACAUGGAUGGUAUGUUUAUAUAAGGUAGUAGACGAUAUGAACAACUCCUUUUCUUUAUUAAUUUUCUUAUUAAAAAAACAAUUGUUUUGCGUAAACCAUACUCAAUCUUCUUCCUUUUGACGCCAUUUGCAUAAAUCUAUCUUUUUCAUUUUUCUAAUAUUCAUACUAUAUUUUUUGUCUUCUCAAUUAUUAUUAUUUCUAGUCGGUAUCUACCUCCUCUCUUUUUUGUAUCUUUCCUCAGUAAAGUGUAAACUCUUCAAACACUAACUUUUUUUACUAUAAAUAAUUGUACAUGUAAUCUGAAAAGGACUCCUUUUUUAAUUUGUUCUAAAAUUAUAGCGUAAUCAUACACUCCAACAAAUUAACGUGAGAGGUGAUAAUAUUCUGUUUUUUACUACACACAUUAACCAACCUAAUUAAUAAGAUGUCCAUUCUUUAAUUUGCUUGUUGGGUUUAAACGAAAUUUUCUUUUUAUAUAGCGAUCAAAGAGCACUAUCGUUAUUUACAUGCUUUCGGCUUUAAGGAGUCCGAGCAGGGUUCUUAAUUGCGAGGGCGGGUCCAUUCAGGCCCGUCGCGGCUAAAGCGGUGAUGAUGAGGUCAUCUUAUGUCAUGCUGACAGCCGCACGUAUGCAUACCCGUUUUGAGAUUCAAAAUUUUAAACAAAACAAAGACAAACUCCACCGAUAUUUUAUGACGAUUAUGUGUAUAAAUUUGUGUAAAAUGAGAGGAGGGAGGGAAAAUGUGGGGACUCGUCUGGUGGUUAUGAGAGGGGGACAAAAUCGCAAGCCUCUAGUUUUGAAGUACUUUGGGCAAGGCUUCUCGAUAAUUAAUGUUUUUACAAUGUUCAACACGUUAAUACAUGCAAGCUCAUUAUCCAUCCACAUAUUUAACUACAAUCAUAUAUAAUAUAUCCGAUAACAUGCCUUAUAUCUUGACCUACAAAAAAAAAUAACAUGCCAUAUUCAUUGGAAAAUAAUAAUCCAAGUAAGGAUUUUAUGAAGGAUAUGCUUUUUGUGUAUAGUCUGAUGUUGAAAAAGAAACCUUAAAUAACAGACCAUGGAUACUGAUGAGUAGUCGUCUAUCAUAUAUAUUUUCUCCAUUAUCCCUCUAAGUGACUUCCCUCGUGUUGUGGGGAUUGAAAUUGGUGGUUAGAGUUCGUCACUAAUGCAACUAUUUCUCCUUUUCGUUAUAUAAUCUAUCUAUCGAAAUAUUAUAUACAGUUAUCUUUAUAAAUAUAUAACAAAUUAUUAUGAAUUACUUGAUAUAUUCCGGUAUUCCAUUUAUGUUGUGGGUGCGCUUAUUUAUCAAUACACGGAAAUGAAUGAACUAUAGUUUCUAGUCUUAAAGAGUUUUACAUAAUUGAAUACUAAUAUAGCAAAUGCCCCUUGGCUAAAUGAUAGACAUACGAAUCUUAUUAAACAAACAUUGACAACUCAGACCACUACAAAAGAAGAAAUUAUGGAACUCCUAGUAUUUGAUAUAAACAUCUGAAAUAUCUCAGGAAAGUCGAUGAUUCUAACAAAGUGAAAGAACAAAAUAUAUACAUAUGUAUAUAAAUUCGAACACCAACUUGAUAAUGAAUAGUAGGCACUGUCUAUAUACAGACCAGCGAGACAACAAUAUCCGUGUGUAACAUAUAUGCACAUGGUAUAUGAGAUAUAAAUCAAGGACAGACUACAAAAUUACUUAUAAAUUUUCAGUUUAAUGAUUAAAACUAAUUCACGUAGAUAUAUAGAUAAACUACAAUGAAAUCGAUGUCAAGGGGUCCGUGAAACUGACAGUGUGCUGUAAGUUCCUCCAAUCCCGGUGUCAACCUUCCUGUUUGUAUAAGAUAAAUGUAUCGAUUUCGUCCAGAUAUAUGUUAUCUUUAAAAUAUAACAAAGGCGUGACGUUAUUGUCGGUAUAAUAAUAUUCACUAUCGACACUACAAGUUACCUCUCUAUUGAGACAAGGGAUUAACAAAAUAUGUACAAUAAAAAUAUUAUAUAUAUCAUGGUUAUCAAGGAUGGGUUUUGACCCUUAAUAUUAAAAAUUCAGUGGGGAAAAAAAAUCAUGGUUAUCAAGGACAUGUUCGUCGCUUUUUAUUAAAAGUUAAAACGAUAAGUUCCACACUUUUAGUUUUACUUGAAUAGAAUAACAUGUAUAGUCUUCUACAACCCGUCGUUCUCGAUGAUUCAAUACAAUAUGAGAUUCACGAGAAUAACGUAUUUAUAUAUACGCAAACAAGUUCUUUUUUUUUUUUGCUAACCGAGUAUCCUGGCCCCACCGAGGUGGUCCAGACUAGAGACCGAAGUGAGCAAGGACGCUGCCAGGGCGUCACCAUGUGGCUCACCGUGUAACAGUCUUCGGUCUCGGAUGCUGCAGCCCAUAUGUAAAUUCCGCAGUGGCCAAGGCUCGAACCCAGGGGCGGGCACUCCAGCUGGAGCUCCUAUACCACUAGACCAAAGCAACUUGGUUUACGCAAACAAGUUCUACUUGUAUUUAUAUGUUAUUGUUAUUUUUUCCUUGUUUUUUUUAACUUUAUUUCCUUAUUCAUCAACAUAUAUUGCUACUGCCUCAUUUUACGAUUGGUUUUCAUCAUAUUUUAAUUUUACAGCUGAUCUCUUAAUAAGUUGAUCUGAGGCGAUAGUGCGGUUUGGUUAGCAAUUCAUAUCUAUCUUAUUAAAAUUCAAGUAUAAAAUUGGAGUGUUUGGAGACUUGGAUAGGACUUUUAAAAAUUUAGAGUGUUUGGAAACAUGGAUUGCAGUCUUUUAAAAAAAAAAUAUUUUUGUUUGAAAACAAGGAUAGUAGUAUUAAAAAAAAAAAGUAAUGGGCUUAUGUUUUUUUAAAAAAUUGAAAGUUAUCUAGGCCACUUUUAAAAUAUACCAAAAUGGGUCAAUCUAAUUCCCUAAAAAAAAUUUUUUCUAAACUAACCAUAAAACAAAAUUUAAACUUUAUAUACAUAUUUCAAAUCAAAAUAAUAAUUCAAAUUUGAUUUAUAUCAAAAAUUGAUUCAAAAAUAUACAUAUAUUCAAAAAUGAAUUUUUACUAAACUAUUUUUCAAUAACCAUUAUAAAAAAAUAUUAUCAAUAUAUAUAAGAAAAAUAUAAUACAAAGCCCAAUUUGAAAUACCAACUCAAAUUAUGGUUUUCAUAUUUCAUAUUAAGUUUUAAAAAUAUAAUAUAUGUAAUUAUUUAUAUGAUGGUAUGUAUAAAAUACUAUUAAUUAUAUGAUUACUUAUAUGAUGGUACAUAUAAAAUACGAUUAAUUAUAUGAUGAUAAAAUACGAUAUAUAAUAAUGACUAGGGAUGGGCUUUUGGAUACCCAUACGGGUUUAGUUCUGAUCGGUUUGUAUUUUGGGUUUUCGGGGUCAAAGAUUUCAGCCUUAUUAGAAUGUUUCUAAAUUUUAGUUUGAGUUCGAUUUGGAUCUUUGCGGGUUUGGUUUGGGUUUGGAUAACUAAUUUAAAUUAUUUUUAAAGUCUUAAAUCAUUAUAUAUUUUAAAUUUCUCAAAAUGUAUAAAUAAAAUAAUAUAUUACGUAUAAAUUUGAAUAACAUAUGUCAUAAUACUUAAACUUAACAUAUCAAUUGGCUUGAUUUAAAAUUUUGGAUACGAAAUCAAUAAUUAUUUUAAGUAUUUUUGGUGAUUUGAGUAUAUUUUAACUAUUUCAGAUAUUUACUUUUGACUAUCUAUAUAUAUUUUCAAGUAUUUAAACCAAUUUAAAAGUAUCAUUUUUGAUGUUUUAUAUACGUUAAAUCUAAAAAUAAUUAAUAUAUAUAAGUAUAUAAAUCUAUUUUUAGAUAAAUUCAGAUACUUAAAUACUUCGGUUCGGAUCAGAUUCGGUUCUCUAAAUAACAAAAUUUUGAAUAAUUAAAAUAUUUAAUCAAUUUAUGUUUGGGUUUGGUACUAUAUCUUUGGAUCGGUAUCGGUUAUGUUCCUCGGAUUCAUUUUUCCAAAUCCUAAUAAUUACGUGAAAAACAAAUAUCAACAUAUUUUUCAAAAUAUACAUCCGCGAGCCUGCGCGGGUCAAGAUCUAGUUAAUAUUACGAUCGAUACAGACAAUUCUUAAUAAUGGUAUACAUUUACGAAAGCAGUUCUUGUAAAAGAAAUGUUAAUAUGCCUAAUUAUAUAUGUGCUUACUUUUUAGGUUAUUUUAUCAUACAAAGUACAUUAUCAAAUAACUCGGAAAUUAGUUAUUAUAUUUGGUUUUAGUGUUAAUAGCUAAUUUUUUAUUAAAUAUGUUAAAUAUUGGUGAUGAUUGGUUAGACUAAAAUUAGUUCUUUAGAUUUAUGUAUUUUUAAAAUCACUAAUCUUAACAAAUCACGAUUUAGCUUUAUUUUAAAAUUUUAAAUCUACAGUUAACCUUUUUACAUCAUUUGUUUUUUAACCAGUCUUUAAAUGAUUUAGUUAGUCUACAAAAGCGACAACAUCUAUAUCCUUUUUAUUCAUGUUAUAUUUUAUUUUUAAAGUAUUUAUUAAAUUAUUUUAAAAGUUGUAUUAUUUUUAUACCGAAAAAACAUACAGCUAACUACAAUAAUAAAAACUACAAACUAAAUCCUACAACAGAACUUCUACAUCUACAAUCCAACCAGUUAUCACCAUUGUUUUAAGAGUUACCAAUAUAAAUUUAAUUUAUACAUGUUAGAAGGAUGUAGAUCUCAUUACCCACCAUUUAGAAUUUUUCAUAAUGGACGUGACCGAGUUUAUCAGUAAUGAAAUAAAUUAGUUUUUUUUUUGGUAUUUUUGUAUUUUGCAAAUAACAUGCAUUAUACUCCUUAUGUUUCUAAAUAUAAAAUGUUUAACUAAAAACAUACAUAUUAGAAAAUAUCAUUAAAACUAAUAGUAUUUAACCAGUUACAAAAUAGAUUAUUAAAAUAUGACUGAGUACAAAGUUUUUAAUAAAGUAAAAAUUACCUAAAAAAAUAAAAACAUCUUAUAUAUUGAAACAUCAAAAUUCUGUAAAACAUCAUACUUUUAGUAACAUAGGAAUAUAGAUUUAAAGAUGUGUGGUAGUCAGUAAUCUAGUGACAACCCUAUUUGUACAUACAUAUAUUUAAUGCAUUAACUUAAAGUACUUAACCAAUAUUAAUACUCACACGAUGUAAAUUAUUUUCCCCCUAUGUUCAAGAAAGGGUGAAGAAAAAAGAGAGAGAAAAGAGAGAAAAGUAAAUCUCAAACCGGGCUCGGUGGUCGGCCGGCGCGUGAGCGUCCGUGCCGCCGCCGGAGCUCUUGUUCCUUCAGUUAAAAAGCUCAGUGUGUCGUGUAAUAUCUCCGGGAGGCGGAGGCUCUCACAGAUCCGUCGCCGCCGGUUUUGUCUCCGUGGCGGGGAAGCUUUCUCAGUUCCGACGUCAUCGGUUUUAGUCUCCGGGGGGUGAAGGCUUCUUCAGCCUUGCGUCGCCGGCUUCGUCCCCUAGUAUGUAGGGUUUAGUUUAAGAUCUAGUGUUUUCUUUCUUUCUGGGUUGGUUUUUUUGUUUCGGCGGUUUGUGUUUUCGUCGGAGGACAGUGAAGUGCCCCGUUGGAAAGGGCGAUGAUGCAUGUGACGACUUUGCUUUGGGUGUUAUGUGGUUAAUGGUGGUGGAUGUGAUCUCGCCGCGGCGAUUGAUCCUUCCCGAUACUAGAUCCCAAAGACGGUUUGAGGUGUAAGAGAGUCGGAGCGAUGAAGCUCCGGUUGGCCGGGGGAUCCGUUGGUUUGGAUCUCCGGUGUCGAUGGAAGCGGUGGUGACGCGUUGGCUUCGGGACACGUGUACCCUCGUCGGCGAGGAUGUUAACACGUGUCCAAGCAAAGCGGCCGAAGCAAUCUGCCUUAGGUCACUAGGGUUUUCCAAGUUGGGCCGAAGGUCUGGGCCCAAUUGGGGAUUGGGUGUGCCCGUUUAAUUGUCUUGGGCUUUAGUGUUUUUCUUUGUACUGGGCUUGGCCCGUUUUUUUAAUUAAAAUCAUCCAGUUGGAAAAAAAAAAUAUUAAUACUCACACAACGGAUUGAAGUCCUCGGAAGCGAAGAAACAUUGAGGGCACUGUAGUACAUAGAAAUAAGGUAGAUGAAGGGGAAUAAAAGAUGGAAGGGUCCUACGUGAUUCCAAAACGACAGCCUCACACAACGGAUUGAAGUCCCGGAGAUGAAAAAUGUGAAAAUGCAAUGCAACCAAACAAUCUCUCAUCACUCUCUCUCUCCCGAUUUCCCAGAUCUUCUUUGUCUCAAAUUUUCUAAUAACAUUCAAUGAAUGGUCCCUUUCAAAAUUGUCAAAAAUGCCCUCUAGUAUUUUCAACGUCAUAUUUUAUUCUCAAUUUUCUUUAUUUUUUUCGAAAUGAUUGAUUUAGAAUCUAUCUUAUUAAAACUCAAGUACAAAAUUGGAGUGUUUGGAGACUUGAAUAGAACUUUUAAAAAUUUGGAGUGUUUGGAAACAUGGAUUGCAGUCUUUUAAAAAAAAAUAUUUUUGUUUGAAAACAAGGAUAGUAGUAUUAAGAAAAAAAGUAAUGGGCUUAUGUUUUUUAAGAAAAUUGAAAGUUAUCUAGGCCACUUUUAAAAUAUACCAAAAUGGGUCAAUCUAAUUCCCUAAAAUUUUUUUUUCUAAACUAACCAUAAAACAAAAUUUAAACUUUAUAUACAUAUUUCAAAUCAAAAUAAUAAUUCAAAUUUGAUUUAUAUCAAAAAUUGAUUCAAAAAUAUACAUAUAUUCAAAAAUGGAUUUUUACUAAACUAUUUUUCAAUAACCAUUAUAAAAAAAUAUUGUCAAUAUAUAUAAGAAAAAUAUAAUACAAAGCCCAAUUUGAAAUACCAACUCAAAUUAUGGUUUUCAUAUUUCAUAUUAAGUUUUAAAAAUAUAAUAUAUGUAAUUAUUUAUAUGAUGGUAUGUAUAAAAUACUAUUAAUUAUAUGAUUACUUAUAUGAUGGUACAUAUAAAAUACGAUUAAUUAUAUGAUGAUAAAAUACGAUAUAUAAUAAUGACUAGGGAUGGGCUUUUGGAUACCCAUACGGGUUUAGUUCUGAUCGGUUUGCAUUUUGGGUUUUCGGGGUCAAAGAUUUCAGCCUUAUUAGAAUGUUUCUAAAUUUUGGUUUGAGUUCGAUUUGGAUCUUUGCGGGUUUGGUUUGGGUUUGGAUAACUAAUUUAAAUUAUUUUUAAAGUCUUAAAUCAUUAUAUAUUUUAAAUUUCUCAAAAUGUAUAAAUAAAAUAAUAUAUUACGUAUAAAUUUGAAUAACAUAUGUCAUAAUACUUAAGCUUAACAUAUCAAUUGGCUUGAUUUAAAAUUUUGGAUACGAAAUCAAUAAUUAUUUUAAGUAUUUUUGGUGAUUUGAGUAUACUUUAAUUAUUUCAGAUAUUUACUUUUGACUAUCUAUAUAUAUUUUCAAGUAUUUAAACCAAUUUAAAAGUAUCAUUUUUGAUGUUUUAUAUACGUUAAAUCUAAAAAAUAAUUAAUAUAUAUAAGUAUAUAAAUCUAUUUUUAGAUAAAUUCGGAUACCCAAAUACUUCGGUUCGGAUCAGAUUCGGUUCUCUAAAUAACAAAAUUUUGAAUAAUUAGAAUAUUUAAUCAAUUUAUGUUUGGGUUUGGUACUAUAUCUUUGGAUCGGUAUCGGUUAUGUUCCUCGGAUUUAUUUUCCAAAUCCUAAUAAUUACAUGAAAAACAAAUAUCAACAUAUUUUUCAAAAUAUACACCCGCGCGCCUGCGCGGGUCAAAAUCUAGUUUUUUUUAUAAAUAAUGUCUAAAAAGGGUGAUUGAAUCUAGGACUCAACCUGAUUGCUAUUGCUUUUAUAUUCCAAGAAGACAAUUUAUACGAAAAUAUCAUAUUACUUUAUCUCAUAACACAUACACCAAUAGUACUUUAAUAUAUUAAAAUAAUACAUAAAUUUAGAAGAAAAUACAAACAAACAAAAAUUAGAAAUUUAACUUGAAGAGAGAAAGUAUAAUAAUUGAACCAUUUUCGUUUUCCCACAAAAAUCAUCUAAUAGUUUACUCUAUUUUUCUCUCUAAAAUAGAUUAACUCUAUAAUAAAGUUAGAUGUUGCUCCAAUAAUACUUUAUUUUAGAGUAAAAAAUAGAAUGAUGAACAAAAAAUAAAAAAAACUACGCUAUAUAUAGAAUAAAAAAUAGUUUACACUUAUAGAGUAGAAAAUAUAGUACUAUUUAAUUUUUUCCUAUUGGAACAUUUUUACUCUUAACUCUAUUUUAGAGAGAAAAAUAGAGUGGGGUUGGAGAUAUCCUAAAUUUAUAGAGUUACAUGCUUUUUAGAGUAUCUCCAACCCACCCAUAUAUUUGCCUCUAUAUGCUAUAAUAGAGUAAAAUAUACUCCAUCCCACCUCUAUUUAAUUUUUUUCCCUAAAAUAAAGAUUGUUAUUUUCUUCUCUAUAUUUAGGGGAAAAAAUAUCAUUCAUCUAUAAUAGAAACAUACUUUUUUAUUUAAACAAUAGUCCUUUAACCUUUCUAUGAUUAUAACUAAAAUACAUAUUUAUGUAGAAAUACAUUAUUUUACAUAUAAAACCCAAUUAUUUUUUGUGUACAUCAUAUUCUUAAUUAUUACAGUUAUAAAUAAUAUAAAUAAAUAAUAAUAUUAUUUUAUUUGAAAGUCAAAUUUUUAACAAAUAAUACUUAAAUUUUAUAUUUGAAACUAAAAUUAUUAAUUAUAGUUUACUUAUUAAAAAUUCCACAUAGAUUUACAUAUUGAUAACAUAUUUAAGUUGAAUUUAAAUAUUAAUUAAUAUAACAUAUUAAAAAAAAUAUAAUAUCCUCGUAAAUUACUUCCGGAUCUACAAAGAUCGUUAGAAUAUUCUUCAAAGGAAAUGGAUGGACAUGGAACUUGUUGAUUUUUUUGCUUCAAAUAUCAGAUGGUGAAGAUAACCGAUUCCAAGAGUUUUUUAGUCGAUUCAAAAAUAUCAAAGAUAAAAAAAAAAAUCUUAUUUCUCAUUUCAUAAUGCAUUAAUUGAUUAUUUAUGAGAAAAGUAUAAUGAUGGUUAGAUAAUGUCUACUUUGUUUCAUUAUUUUUGUUUAAUGUUUUCUUUAAUAAAAUCUUUAAAUUAAAUAAUCUUUCACUUUUAUGAAAAUUUCCCAAAAGAUAUAAUCAUAUAAUGAAUGGGUUAAUUUUCAAUUUUUGUAAGUUAAAGAGUGUUAAUUGUAAAAUUAAAAAAGAACCUUUUAAGAAUAUUUUUUUAGAGGAGAAAAUAGAGGAAUACAUUGGAGACAAAUCCGCUUCUAUUAUAGAGUUCUUCUAUUAUAGAGGAAAAAAUAGAAAAUUACAUUGGAGAUGAUCUUAUAAAGGGUUUAUUAACUUGCAUGGAAUCAUUUUUCAAAAAAAAAAAAAAAAAAAAAAACUUGCAUGGAAUCUAUGGUUAGUUUUGGAAGAACAAAAACAAGGAGUCUACAAAAUAUGAAAUAAGUAAACAUUAAUUUCUUGCCCCUCUGUAUUAUUACUUUUAUUUAUUUAUAGUAAAAAAGUUGGAAAUUAGGAAAUAUAGAUAAGAGAUCCCCACAAGCAAAAGGAAAAAAAGAAGCACGCACACGCACCCCACUUGCGACUUGGUCAUCAAUGGUCUACAUUGAGAAAUAUCAAAUUAUGAUUUCGUAAGUAAUUUUGCGGCUCCGAUUUUUUUUUUCUUUGUAAUAUUCAAAUUUCCAUCUGUAGCUCAGGCGUACCGUAUGAUUUAUGAAUGUGUUAUAUGAAAAAUGUGUGUGAGAGCGUCAACGGAGUUUGCGUGAAGAUGUUGGAAUGCAAGUGAGAAACGUCAAAGGGUGCAACUAUAACCAAAUGAUUUUGAAACCCUAUAUGCUUAAUGGUUACGUUUUUUUAAGGUUCCAUGUUCUAGUGGUUUCGUCCUAGACUCAAUUUUCUAAUAGUUGAGGGUUCGAUCUCUCUUUUUUAUAAUAGUUGAAUUUAAAAUAUACGUUUAUAUAAACUAUUAUCAACUGGUAUCGACCCACUAGACCUUCCAUAGUUAUAAGAAAUAUGUCUCAAGGAAAAACAAUUGUAUCGCAAAGCUAUAUUAAUAUCAAUGUUCUAAAAUUUAGUUGAUAUGACCACAUAUACGGUGUAUAUACAAUAUUCAGUAGUGCAUUAUACUGUUUUUUUACUAUACGGUAGAAUAAUACAAUGAUGGUUUGGACGAGCGCAAAUACUUCGUUUAUACAGUGUAAUACGGUGUUCAUACGGUGUUUAUACGGGUUUUCUAUGCUCACAGUUUAUAAGAUAUAUUUUUAAAGAAAUUUAUGUAAACAAUUAUAAUGUACUUGUUUGAUUCUUUUGAUUUCAUGUGACUUUAUUCAUAUCAGUUUAUCAAUUUAAUUAUGUUUGCUAUAUAUUUUAUUAUUUACAUAUAAUUUAUAUAGUUAUUUUAUUUAUUACUGUAAUAUUUAUUUAGAAUAUAUCAACCGUAUAUACUUCUGUGUAUAUAUCUAAGCGCUAUACAUUAAUCAACUGCCCGGCUAACGUAGAACACAUAUUAUAACAUUAAUUAAUAUUAGUACUUUUCAUACCCGCGAUGAAUGGUUUUUUGUCUGGUUCAAAAAACCAACAAACAAUAAUAAUUAUGCAAUGAUUUCUUAAUCCUGCAUACAAUGCACGUACAAUCAACCAUAUGGCAUCUAUGACCGAUCCAAUAUAGUUACAAAGUUUGUGUAAGAUCAUCUCCAAUUCAUUCCACGCCUAUUUUUUCUUUUAUAAUUUCUACAAAAAUAAAAUAAUUCUAUUAUAGGAUAAGUUUUAUUCUAAUAGUUUAUUUUAUAAUAGAGUUAUUUUAUUUUCUCUUCUAUAAUAGAGUUACUUUAUAAUAUAGUAAACUAUUUGAGCAAAACUUAUUUAUGAUAGAGUUACUAUAUUUUUGUGUGAAUUAUAAAAAAAAAUAGGAAUGAAUUAGAGAUGCCUUAAGUAAAUGUUUGAAUCAGUGCACCUUUUUACGUGAAUUAUAAAAGGAAAUUUGAUAUAUUCUUUUCUCGAAAAUAUUUAUUCACAAGAUUAAGAAAAGAACUCGUUCUUUUUUUUUUUUUUUUUGUAAACUAAAAGAACUCGUUCUUUUGAUUCAAAUAUUUAGAAAUGUUUAUGAAAUGUGUGUAUUCUGAUAUUAUUAUUUUAUGUCCCUGUUGAAAAAACACACACAUAUAUAUUGAUACCCCUUAGUUUGAAAAUAAAUUAAUUGAAUAAAUACAUAAUAUACACUGUUUUAAAAAAAACUGUUUGGAUUAAAACAUUUUAGCUUCUAGAAUCAAAUGAAGUACAUAUAUUUGAUUUCUCCGGAAUCGGAUAACUAUACUAAAUUUUUUAAGUCAUUACUUACAAUCGAUAUCGAAGUUGACUAUAUAUAUUUUUUCUAUAGUAAUUAAUAUAUUUAACGGAGAUAGGUUUUGCUUUUAUUCUAUCUCAAUGAUCUCAGUUUCUUCAUUUUGAAGCUACACUUUGUCAACCUCAAAGUUGCAUUCCUCUUUUCAUAAAGAAACUUUCAUUAGUAUUUUUGUAUUUCUUAUACAUGUAAUAUAUACAUAAGUUGUCAAAUGCUUUAUAGCAAAAAAAGGAAGGAAAAGUCUUUAAAUGAUUCCAAAUCUCUCUUUAAUUACUCUGGAUUUGAUGCCUUCAAACAAAUUUUGAUAGACCAAAAUUAUAGUAUAAAUGUGUUCAUAUAAGUAUAUCAUAAUUUGAGAACGUGUGACUACUACAUAUUAUAAUUGUAACACAUACGCUUCUAGACCGAAAUAUUUUAAUUUUCUGAGUUUUAUUUGACUUUGUUUGUACUAGUACAAAUCUAUGAUAAUGGACUUCAGCAUAAAUACUAUUUAGGAUAAUGUCACUAUAUGCUUACACAAAAUAUUACUAUUACUGUUCUUUUUGCUAAGAGACUUGGGCACUAAACAAAAAAAUCAAAUUACUUAACGUAUAUUAAUCUCAAUACGAAACCUAAGUAUACACAGCAAGGUACUGCAGCUGCGUACGUCAUAUAAGUGAUCUUGGAAGUUGAAGAAAAACCCACUAAAAGAAAUACAAUCCUUUUAGGUGAAGCAACCUGAAGAAUGAAACUACUUUUGAAAUAUGUUUUAGUUGAUUACUUUCAUAACUUUAGGUGUGGACUUGAACAUUGUAUGGCUUUUUAUGGCAUGUGACUGAACAACUUCAAAACUUAUCAAAAGAUGUUUUAUUUAUUCUCUCACGUGUGUUGCUACCAAUCCGUGUGCCAACUUUCUCUUCUUUUUCUUGGGAAAGAGAAAAAUAGUUGUGCUUUUGAGAAGAAAAAGAAGUUGUUUCGUUGAUGCUUAUUCCAAACUUGAAAUACACAAAUUCCACCUAUGAAAGGUUAUUCUUUCAUCUUCCCCUCUUUUUUUUUUUUUAGCUCAAAUCUCAAAAAGCAGAAAGAAAAAUUACACUAGAGAUGAAUUUUGUUCUCAUUAGAGAUUUAACAUUAUAGUUUAAAAUCGAGUUUGAUAUGAUUUUGUUUCGGUUUGGUCUAGUUCAAAUUAAUGAAAACCUACAUAAAUAUUAUUUCGUUUGGUUUGGUAUGCGUUUUCUCAUUUUGGAUUACUUAUUUAGUUUGUUAUAUUUAUAUUUGAUUAACUCUGUACUAAAAAAUCAAACUUCAUCUCUGUUUGGCCCAUAUAGUUUGGGUUUUAAAUUAUGUUUUUUUCUAAGUUCGUAGGCCGUAACAAUGUGUAAACUUUAACGAGAAAAUAAAAUUGUGCAAGUAUGGUUUAGCCUGGGCCUGUGUGAGGACUUCUGUGAAGUCUAUGAUUCAAUAUUUGAGGGUUGUUGUUGAGGCGAGGUUAUAAUGUUAUUGAUGGAAUAGAAAACACAUUAGGUCAAGUGAUGUAGGCCAAUUAUGACUUGUUGGGCUCUCUAUGAGACUGCAAAUUAUUACAGCUCUUUCCUGUAUGCGUAUUAUUGAUUUUAGAGAAUUUUUGUACUAUACUACAAGCAAAGAAAUUCAAUAGCAAAUUCAGCAGUCCAAACCGAAGAACAACUAGAAAUAUUGGGUUUAAUAUAUAUAUGUUGAUGAUAUCUCUAAGAUGCUGAUUAGAUGCUAUCUUUAUCAUAUUAGGAAAUAUUGAUGUAUAUUUAUUCGGCUAUGCAUUGAAAAAAACACGCAAUCGUAUAUACUUGAUUUCAAGAAAAGACAUUGGAAAUAUGAAAUAGACGAAACGGAUGAAGAAAAUAACUCCUCACGUAUUUUGGGUAGGUUUGAUAUUCUAUUUACGAAUUAUACAUCGCGUAUUGUUAGGUAGGUUUGAUAUUUUAUUUAUGCUUUAUGAAGAAAAAUGGAAACUAAAGGGGGGUUAUUGGUAGAAAAUUUUUAGAGGAAUUACAAAAUUUUGAGAAUCCAUUGUUAUUGGAACAAGAAUUUUUAAAAUUUAAGUAAAAUCCAUUUUUAUUGGGAUGCAGAUUUUUAAAUUCCAUUCAAAAUCUUUUGUUAUUGGAAAAGUUUAUUUAUGAUGGAUUUAACAAUUCUAUUAAAAUCUUUUGUUAUUGGGAUGUAAAUUCUUUUUAUUUUUACUCAUAAGAAUCAACUUUGAGAAUAUCUUCUACACCCAUAAGAUUUCUAAAAUAUAUGUUAUUAAUCUCACACGUAUUAACUCACAGUCUAGAAGGGUGCGUCAAGAAAAAAAAAACAAUGAAAGCAAAGCUGAUAAAAAUCUUGAACAAAAUUGUAAAAGAAGAUGUUAAAGUGGUGAUGAUGCUAUUCAAAGUGUUUUUGCUUUCAUUGAUGAUGUUAUUCACUCAUACUUUCAUCAUAUAUCUGUAAUAUCAUAUAAAGAGAGUUCACUGCUAUUAUCAAAAGCAAGCUAAUGCAUACCAGAAACACCGUAGACAUAAAUCAAUCUUCAAUUUGUAGUGAUGCAAUUCAAAAUCAAGCUACUAAAAUUGAAAAGUUUCUAGAAAGAGAUUUUCAUUUAUAUCACCUUAUAAAAAGAAACUUUUUGAAAAAUAUAUUAUGCAAAUCCAUUGCAUUCAAUAUAAGUACUUACAAAACUUUUGCUAAAAGUUUAGAAGAUAUUUGUUAACUCUACUUAAAUUUUAAGAAUCUCUCAACUCUUAAAAUUAUUAAAUUCUAUUCAAAUUCUUGUUCCAAUAACCCCCCCUAAAUGUCACGUGAAUAUUGAUUCAAAGAUUGAUCAUAUAUAUGAUUUCCCCAAAAUUUAGAUUUAAUUCGUAUGGAGAUAUGUCAGCAGUUUUAUAUAAAAACAUUAUUCCAUCCAUUUCAAUUUAAGUAUCGUUAUUGAAUAAAAUUUAAUUUACAAAGUAAGUGGUGUUUUAUAAUUUUAAUGCAAUUUUAUUAAUUUAUUUUACUCAUAAACAAAUUAGAUAAAACAAUAAACACUAUAACCUAAUAUAAUUUAACUAUUUUUUAUUUUGUGUGAAAGAACAAUAUCUAUAUUAUUAAAAGUGAAGUACUUUUAAUACUUUUUAAUACUGUUUGGAAACUUAUAUAGUAGAUUAAACGAAAGUUGUUUGGAAACAAGGAUAGCAUAUUAAAUAUUUUUUAACUUACAUAUUUAGUCAAUGUAUUUCUUUUUCAUUUACAGAUUCUGUCGUGAAAACUUGGAUAAGAGAUUAAAUGAAAAUUGUUUGGAAACACGGAUAGCAGAUUAAAUAUUUUUUUUUUAUUUACACAUUUAGCCAUUGUAUUUUUUUCUUAUUUACAAAUCUGUCACUUCACUUGAAAUCAAAAAAUUAAACUAAUUACAAUAAAUUGUUAUUUCUUUUUGUUGAAAAUAAAAACACAAACUGUAAUAUAUAGUAUAUAUUAAUUUGCUACAAUAUAAUUUUCAAGAAAACCAAAUAUCAUAAAAUUAAUAAUAAUUCAUAAAAACCUAUUGUAAAAAAAUAAAUCAUUUUUUAAUAAAUAACCAAAAAAAUUAAUAGGUUAACAUAUGAAUAUUACAAUGAACUCAGAUUGCAUCAAGUUAUAAAAUUAUAGAUAUAAUAUUACGUACAAAAAAAAUUAUUAUCAAACAUUUAUAUUAUAAUAUAAUAUAUUCUGCUCUAAAUAUAUUUUGCAAAACAUAAAAAUAUAAUUGGACAUUUUAUAAAAAUCAAUUUGGUUUAUAAAUUUACAUUGAACGCAGUUAAAUCCAACAUCCGCGCGGUGGCGCGGAUCAAGAUCUAGUAUAUUUUACUCUCUGUGUUCUCAAAAGAAUAAUUUUUAUAGUAUUCACGCAUAUUAAGGAGACGAUUAAUUUUUUUAUAAUUGAAUUUAUUAUUUAUUUUACUAUAUAUUUUCUAAUAAAUAUCAACCAAUAAUAUUCAACUAAUUCAAAUAUUUUCAAUUAAUGUUUCUUAAAAGUAUACAACUUUUUAACAUUAAAAAAUAAAAAUAUCUUAAAAUUUUAGAAAAUCUAUUAUUUUGGAACAAAAAAUAAAUCUAGAAAAUUCUACUUUCUGGAACAGAGAGUAAAACAGAUAACACAUAACCUUAGCUAUGACUUAUUUGUUUGGCAGUUUGAUAUCUUCUGAUUUCUUUUUAGCUUUUUAACCUAGGUUACAAACGCGCAGAAGCUUUAAUUAUAUUUAUGUCCAUUAAGUGCGACUUGCCCAAGCUGUAUUUAAUUAAUACAAUUCUGUUUGUGUGUAACUAACUACUUUCUAUGUUUCUAAAACAAAGAUUUUCUAGAAUAUUCACGCAUAUUAAAAAUAUAAUAAAUAUUUACAAUUGAAUUUAUUAUUUAUUUUACUAUACAUUUUUAAUAAAUAUUAACCAAUAGUAUUCAAUCAAUUCAAAUAUUUUUAAUUAAUGUUUAUUAAAAUUAUACAACUUUUCAACAUUAACUACUAAAAGUACCUUAAAACUUUAGAAAAUCUAUAAUUUUGGAACACAGAAUAAAAAUAGAAAAUCUUAGUUUCAGGAACAGAUGUAGUAUUAAUUAAUCACGAUGCCGUGUCCCUAAUCCAGUAUAUAGGGUAGUGGUCCUAACUCCUAAGUUAUUAGUACAUUUUUCCAGACAAUAACUAUAAUGUUAAGAACAAAUCUUUCUUGCUUUUGAGGUGUUUGGGCGAAAUUUUUUUUCUCAGUUCGAUCGUAAACACAUUCUAUCUCAAAAAUAAAAUCAGAUAACACCUGAUUGCGCAAAACACAGCAGGCAUCAGCCACCUCAUCAUUUCUUAACAAUUUGAAUUGAUAAAUAUAAAGUUUUAUGUGGUCCAUAUCAUCCGGGGUUAGGUUUUGUCCCAUAAUCUUUGCCUUAUCGACACGCCAAUCAUUCAUUUAAUUGUACGCUCAGAAUUUUGUGAUUGAGCACGUCGAAGAUGAUAGUAUCAUUCUUGCAUGGCUAACUAAAAUUUGUUUUGUGAUACGUUAAAGUUAAUUAAUGACACUUUGGAAUAAAGAAAAAACAUGUGAAUGUAUAAGCUGAUGGAAAAUCACACGUUAAGACUAGUUCUCAUUAGUUGAAUAAGAGAUCGAUUAAUUCUGACAGGAAAGUCAAUAUUAAUGACAAUUAUAAAAUUGUAGAAAAUGGAACCAAUCUUUCGUUGCAGAAAUUAGGAUAUUAAGUGGAAAAGGAUUAGCUAGGAAGUUUCUAUGAUUAUAAAGAUAUUGACUAAUUCAGUACGCAUUAGUAACUGAUGAUUACAAAAAUAUAUGAUGAUGCAGCUCAUUAGUUCGUAUGCGGGAUUGAAUUGAACACAGCAAUUAAUUAGUAUGAAAGCGAAGAAAACAAACAUGUUGUCCAAUAAAAACAAACAAAAUAAGAAUAAAUAUCGCCACGUCACAUAUAUAAAAGUAUAAAAUGCCAAAUCUCACUUUGCCUUUACUUGAAAAGGAAUACAUGAAAUGUGUAAACACGUUCAAUGCAUCAAUCUUCAAAUUGUAUUUUCGGGUGCUUUCUUCCAUAUCUCCACCAUACCAUACGUAUUCCUUAAGCAUAUGACCGUUCACAACUACAAAUCCUUUAAUAUCAACAAGCAACGUAACCUUUUUGUAAUACAAUAGUUUUCACUAAUUCAUAAUUUUGUUCAUGGAAAUUUGUAAUACUUAACAAGAAGUACCGUUUACAGAAAGUAAACACGUUUUUCUUCCAUAAUUUAAAUAUAUACAAAGCGAAGAAGUGAAAUUUAUUGUAACAGCAAAGAUAUUGCAUAGAGAUGGGGUAACUGGAAUGAGAUGUUUCUAGUUUGAGGUGUAUCCAGAAGACAAUAAAUCAAUAAUUAUAUGGGUACGUGUGGAAGCUUCUGACCACUUGACAACAUUUCGUUGUGUAUGAAACAUAUGUAUCAAGUUCUAAUGAAAUUCCAAGAACCCCACGUUUAUUGAGCCCUUCAAACGAUGAGUCAUUAUUUUUGUUUCUGUAUAGUCAAAUCAAUAUUUAACUCGAGCAUGAAACACCGCCAUCUCCAUAUAUAGGUAAAUACGGAGUACAUCAAGCAUAGAGAUGGGGUAACUGGAAUGAGAUGUUUCUAGUUUUAGGAGUAUAUAUAUAUUUUUUACUUGGUCGAUAUGAUUUCCAUUCAAAAUGGGAUCUUACAAAAUGAUUACUAGAAACUCCACUGUCUCCACUCUCCACUGUCCCCAAAAUUAAUAGCUGCAUACAAAAAAUCCUCAAGUGUUUGCCGAUACACUCUCUAAAAGUAGCGGAUAUAUCCAAUGGGAAUCAAAAGAUCUGGUGCAUGCAUGCAGGCGUGGACAAUAUCGCCGAAACCCAAUAUACAACAUAAAAGAGACGUGCCAAAGGCUGAAUGAAUACGUCAAAAGCAAUGCCAUAUGAUUGGACUAGGAAUUCAUACUUUCAGAAAAUUCAGUUUUUUCAUGCAAAUUACUAAGAGAAAACGGUUUCAAGUCAUCAUUAUCUGUGAAAAGAAUAACUCUAGCUAGAUACCUCAAAUAUGUUCAAUGUAGAUCGAUCGGUAUAUAUUAAGAUUUACACAAAACAUUCUUAGUUAGAAAUAAGCUACUAUUAUAUAAACCCAAAUUGUUUUGCAGUGUAACUUGGAUUUUUACCAUUGGAUUUACUUCUCCAAAACAUCGAUUCUUUAAUAAACCAGAGAGUAUAUAUGAUUAAUAUUGGGAAAUUCUAAUUUUACCAAAAAUCUUUCACCAAAAAUCGGA
rnacentral:lncRNA from 1 species